UUACUAUCGGAGCGCCAUUCACCAUGACCAUAACCAUAGCAAACGCUUUCUGUCAGUGUUCUUAAGUCUCCUGCUGUGAAAAUCUUCAUCUUGGGACAGCCAAUCACACAUAGAUAUUCCAAAGAUGGGAAUCUGAAGGUGUAAUUGCCAGAGCUGAAGCUUGUGAGACUAUCUAAAUGAUGCAGAUCCAGAGACUUCAAUUUGAUGAAAACUAUCUCUUCCUUUGCUGCUGCUGCAUCUCCCUCACUUAUUACCACUUGUGUCAUUGCACUGCAUCCAUAUAUCGUCAAACUUUCAAGUCGCACUAGACUUUUUGCUCCGGAGGGUGUUACUAAGUUCAUCAACUUCUGGCAACUGUCUACCUGCAGUUGCAGCAGUUCGGUGAGAUUAGACUAAUCAGAUUUUGAGAAUGGAAAAAUGUCAAUUAGACUAAUAAGGUUUUGACAAAGUUGUACUUUUAGAAUUUCAAGAUUUUGAAGAAUGGAGUCCCCCAUCUUGGAGUUUGGUAUCCACAAGUACUCAAGAUCAUUAAGACAGAUCAGCUCCAACUUCUUUAUCAAGUGUACUUGUCCUCCAUUUGAGAAUAGCUCUUUGUAUGAACAAAAGGACAGGUUGAGAUUUUCCAGCCUGUGAAAUUUCUCAAGCAAACCAAUUGGGACACUAGCUGAGUCAUCAUCCCUGACCUCCAGAUCUUUAAGACUGCCAAAGAGGUGAUCUUGUGGGAAAUCACCCUGCAAAAGCAUCAUGAUGUCCUUUAUGCUUAACCCCAGUUCCUCCAAAUUGGGGAAGAUCUGAUCAACAUCAACAAAAUAAAAGCUUGAGUUAAAUUGAUCAAUUAUCUCAAACAAUUUUGAGUUAGCCAAUCAUAUAAAUUGAUUUCAUAAUAUAUUAUGAGCGGAUAUAUUGAGUCUGACCAUUCAUAAAAAGAGAGUCUAUUCGGAAAAAAGAUUCAGAUUUUAAAAAGAAACAAUAAGAAUAAAUGAAAAACAAGUAAAGAAUACAUUACUAAAGUUGAACAUUGUAAUAUUUCAAAGUCAUUUGUAGAUUCUAAAUAAAAGUAUUGAAUUCAUCCAUUAUUGAUUUUUAUAAUAAUUGAAAGCAAACGUAGAUGCAAAAUAUGCUAUACAUAUGUGUGACGGAGUGAUGUCCAUGAUAAAUAAGAAUAAAAAUAUAAAUGUAAAGAGGGAAAGAUGUGAAUGAAGGGAUUACUGGGUGAUGAUACAAGAGCACAACAAAGACACUUGGGGACAAGAAUGUUAAUUCCAGGUAUCUAUUAACAAAUAAAAAAUGGUCAAGGAUCUAAGUACAAAACUUGUUUGCAGGGAGUACAUGAGUGAGUCAUUUCUAAAAUUUUGGUUUGCGAAUUUCUUUUAAAGCACAAGGACUCAACUGAUCAUAAAAGUCUAAAACAUUGUAUCAUACCUUUUCGAAGGAGAAGAAUGGUUGCUUUGGGACAUGAAGUUGUUUUUUCUCAUUACUAUGGAAACUAAAUGAUUCUGAAGCGAAAGUGUUUAAUUUGUCACAAGAAAACACCUCCAACUUUUUUAGCUCUGGCCAUUCCGAAGUAUGCAAUCCCGGGUAUAAACAUGUAAGUUCUGGUAGAUGGCAGAGACUAAUAUUUGUCACCCGCCGAAAUGCAAAACAAGGGGGCUCUUGACCUGGCCCUCCCUCAGAAAUAAUCACCUGCAAACCUGUACAGUUGCGUAUCUCCAGGUGCUGGAGUUGCUCCAAGCUUUUGAUCAUAGAAGCAUAAAACAUGAAUUUUAAUUUCUGACAGCCCCACACUAUCAAUCGUGUUAGACGUUGAAAGCAACAAGGAGUUUGAUUGUGCCAAAUACUUUUGACAUUAAUUUCACAUAGCUCCAAAGCCUCUAAGUUGGGCAAAACAACCUUCAGAUAAAGUUCUUGUCAGAUAUUCCAAUAUCAAAUGAGAAGCAGCAUCUCAAGAAUUUUGUUCAUCAAUUGCAAAUGCAGGUCAAAAUCAACUUCCACUUGAGUACAUAAUCUAAUUCAUACUAUGUUGAGAUCUUAGUGAGUUUGUUUUAUUCCUUUUUCGUUUUUCUAUUUUUUUAUGAAGGAUUUAUUUUCUACUUAUAUGCCAACAAAAUGAGAAUGCAUGAUAGAAUAAAAUGGUAGAGAAACAGAAAUUACUAUAGCUUACCUUCCCAUUAAAAAGUGAUGGUGGCAUAGAAGGUCCCUUCACUUCACAGCAAAAGCUUUUAAGUUCUGGAAGAUUUCCCAGACUCAAAUACCUUAUUUGAGCAAACUCUAUAUUCUCAAUUGCAUUAUUGUUGUCGACUACAUCAGGUUCUUCUCCACCAAUCGCAAAAAUCUCUUUCAUCUUGUUGCAUUUAAUAACUGCAAUCCUCUGAAGACUUGGAAGGCACUUAGUAGUAGAGAGCACAAAGAUAUUACUCAACUCAUCACAAUUUUCCACUUUCAUAGUUCUAAGUUCAGAGAAAGACUCUGUGCUAAGUCGAUCAACACAUAUCCUCUUCAAGUUAAUCAAAUUCUGAAGAGAAAGCAACUCCAAAAGAGGAAAGGCAUCACAAUCCACUAUCUCCCUUGAGUCAACAAUAAACAAGAGAUCAGGAUUAUUUUGUACAAGAAGAUGCUUGAGCUGUGAAAAUCCCUGUGUGUCCAAUUCAAAAAGAAUAUUCUUGACACCUUGGAACUUGUCCAAACACAAGUAUUCAACUUUUCUGAUGCCCUGCAAUUUCCUCAAGCAAAUAGUCUUCCAAUUAAGCUUCAAUUUCAACAUUCUUAAAGACUGAUGAUCAAGGAUCAAAAAGUGUGACCGACUAAUUCUAAACCAAUCUUUACUGAGAAUCACAGGAGGCUCGAACGAUCUAUCUCCUAUUAAUAUUUUGAACCUUUCCAGCUCUCUGACGAAAAACCCUUCGGGUAAAGCAUUAUCGUUUUCAACAGCUAUUUCCAAAGUGGUCAGCCUAGGCAAAGGCAUCAACUCAUCAAGGCUAGCUUUACUUUUUUUACUACUGGAUCCUUCAUCCUCAACCUUCCAUUCAACAAAGCAAUUAGACAUAUACAGCUCUUCCAAUCGAGUAAAGCUUGCUAUGACAUUGGGUGCAAUAACUUUUAGGUGGAAACAAUUUGUCAAAUCUAACAACCUUAGCUUAGUCAAUUUACCUAGUUCUUCAGGGAAUUCCACAAUAUCAGACUCGAUUAAGCUAAGGAUUUCCAGAUUUUUCAACUUACCGAUAAUAGUUAUGUCUCCCAACGUGCUAUAAUCCAGACAUAGUGUUUGAAGGUUUACUAAGAGAUCAAUUGAAGAUGGCAAUGAAAACAACUGCAUGUUCGUCAAAUCUACAACCUUGAGCUCUCUCAUCCCUGUGAAAAACCUCUGAGGAAUAUUGACGUCAACAGAAGAAUGCUCGGAAGACAAAAGUAAAAGUUCAAGUUGCGGACAUUCUAAACCUUCAGGAAGUUCACCACCACUACUAUCUAUCCAAGAGAUUGCAUAGCAUUUUUUCAGUGCAUCCUUAUCCGGCCAUUCCCACACAUCACCAUUUCUAACCAAAAACUCUUUCUGUUCACCACAUGCAAUUAAAAUGGCAACAUCGUGGACAACAUCAUGCAUAGAAAACUCUCUACAGCUAUAGCCCUCAAGCAACAAACAAGAGUCUUUAAGUUCAUGCACCAGUGUAUAUAAUUUGUUUCGUGCAUCUUCCAUGUCGAUUCCUCGAAAAAUGCCCAACCCUAUGCAGUAUUUGAACAAGUCUGAAGCAAAAAAUGACUUUGGCAUUAGACUACAGAGCUGAAAAAUUUUCUUAAGUUGCUCACCUUUUAAGGCAUCAUAACUCAGCUUGAUAGCUGUGUAUGCCUUCCCUAGCUCUCUAUGAAAGUUAUUCUCCGUAGGCAUUCGGAGCUCGUGCAGGGCAUUCUUCCAACAUUCAGACUGAGUCUUAUUUCUCAAAGCCUUUGCUAUGGGUUCUAUGGCAAUCGGCAAACCUCCACAUUCCUUGACUAUAUGUGUUGCUGUAGAUUUCAUCCUAGGAAUCAGAUCAUCAUUGCCUAGCUUCACCUCAAACAAUCUCCAAGCUUCUUCUUCAUUUAAAAUUUCAAUCGAGAAGUUAGCUUCAGAGCCCAUCCUUGAAAGUAAAUCACGACCUCGUGUUGUCAGCAAUACUUUGCAUCCUUUGUGUUCAUCUCCAAAAGGAAUUCCAACAUCCUUCAGAUGAAGCUCUGUCCACACAUUAUCUAAAAUUACGAGUAUCUUCCUAUUCUUCUUCAAUUGUGCAUACAGCAUACUUGCUCUAGCAUAUUCAGUUUCCUUGUCCAGUGUCAGCCCUAUUUGCUCUGCAAUUUCCCUUUGAAUCUUUUUCACAUCUGGAGUUCGGGAAACCUCUGAAAAGACCAUCUGAUCAAAGCGCUUGUCCUCUUCAGCUUCCUCCGCUAGCCGUGCCACCUCCUCCACUAGUGUGGUCUUCCCAACGCCAGGCAUCCCAUACACCCCAAUGAUGCUGAUUUUAUCAUCAUAUAAUGCAUUUUGUAUGUCCUUCAAAGCAGGAAUUCUUGAUUCAAAGGACACAUAAUCUUUGUCACGCUUAAUCUUAAGCCAGAGGUAACGGUAAUUAGGCCGGUAGGAAACUUCAUGAAAUCUCGUAGCCGCUUCCAAAAGUUUACCAAUGGCCUUCUCCUCUCUGGCUGCUUUCUUGCUAAGCUUAUAACGGGUAAACAAACGCUUGAGACAUGGCAGGUUAUCUGCUGUCGCUUCAUUUUCAAGGAUGUUGGUUGCACUUUCCAGCAAGUUGGCAACCUUCUCCUGCCACUUCUGAACUUUCUCUUCAAUCUUUUUUCCUUUGCUUUUGUCGUCAUUAACUCUGUUUUCAAUGCUACUACUUUCAUUCUUCAGGUCUACCAUCGAUUCCUUGAGUUUCUUAAUGUUGUCAUUGUAGUUAGGCAAGUAACCAAGCUGUUUUGUUAAUGGAGUCAAGCAUUUUACAACCUCUGGAACCAAAGGAAUGAUGAUUUCCGCCAUAGAUUUUGAAGUUAACUAAACAGAACAGAGACAACAACAAACAAACAAACAGAUGCCCCAAGUGUGUUGUUAAGAUCAGAAAAGUUGAAACAUGAAAAAGGGUUUCUUGAUGUAAUGAAAAUGCAAAGAAAAACAGCAGUAGCAACCACAAAAAACAUAAUCAAAUCGUGUUUGAGAUCAAAACUCAAAAGGAUGAAAAUAAGGAAAAGGGUUUCUUCAAUGCAAAGAGUUGACAGAAUCAGAUGACAAAAUUAAGAGACUUCAAAGUAGUAGUAGCAGGGUCUCUGAUGUAGCUCAGAAAACAAAAUAUUUUCAAGCAAGUCAUCUAAGUGAACAGCAAAGACCAAAUUAAUAAGUAAUAAUAUUAACCCAAGAAAAUAAUUGUAAAAUUUAGGGGUGGGCAUUAUGGUUUUUGGUUGGGUUUCUACUGUUUUUGGUUGGGGUUGCAAUUCAUUCGGGUUCAAGAUUUCAACCCAAACGGUUUGAAAAUUUAUUUUGGUUGGGUUCGAUUUUGGUUCAAAUUUGGUUCAGGUUCAUAGCUCGGUUCGAUUGCGGUUGUUAAUUUGAGUUUAAAUACAGUUUGUCAUAUUCCAAGGGAACUAUGAAAAAUGCUUAGAGUUGAAGUCUAAAUAUAAAAUCACAGAUAAAUGUAAAUUAUUACUACUGAGGAUGGCAAUGGGGAGGGGAGGGGAGGGGAUCAAUCUCCCUGUAUUUAUCCCCGAUAUUUUGCGUAUGUCCCCGUCUCCUCUCAGUCUCCGUCAAAAUUAUUUAAGAGAAUCUUCAUCCCCUUCCCGAAUAAUAACAGGGGAUCUCCGAGGGUACCCGGUCCCCGAAUAACUAAUAUUUUUUUUUAUUUUUGAUUUUGAGUUAAUCAUAUUAAAAUAAAAAAUUCAAAUAAAAGUAAAGUUCGAAAUAUAUCUUACAUUAAUAUCCAUUACAAAAGUCACAUACAUUAAAUUAGUAAAUAACGCAGCAUGCAAGGGAUACAAGCUAUCAUGAAUAAAUUAAUAGCCUAAUACAAAAUUGUUACAAAUAAAAUCAAAUUUAGAUUCAAAAUUAACUUUUCAAUGGUGGUGUGGACACUUUAUAAAUGUGGAAUAUUCACUUUACAGUGCAAUAGUUAAGUCUUAGUAAAUCAAGAGCAAAUAUUAGAUUAGAUUAGAUAUUAAAAUUGUGAUUUGCUGUGGGUAAUUAUAACAUCUAAAAAUAAAUAAAAAAUAGAUUUAAGAUAAAUAAAAAAUAGAUUUAAGUUUAAAAUAUUUAAUGAAUAUUAAAAUUAAAACAAAAGUUUUAGGCUAAUAGAAUAUGUCCGGUCUUUUUAAUGUGCUCAAUAAAAAUUUAGGACUUUAAUUAGUUAAUUAGGUCUAAAAGUUUAAUAAUAUAAAUAUUUUGAUAUUUUUUAUUUUUACCAAUACUUAUAAUUUUAUAAUUCAAAUUUUAUUAUUUAUUUACUAGUAAUUUUAAAAAAUAAAAAUUAAAUUAAAAAUUAAAAUGAGGAAAUGGGUAGGGGAUGAGGAUUCCACCUCAUCCCCGUCCCCUCCCCGAAUAAAAAAUUAGGUAAAAAAAAUUUCUCCAUCCCUUCUUCGAAUAAGAAAUUGGGUAUAAAAUUAUCCUCAUACUCUCUCCGAAUAGAGAAAAUCUCCGAGAAUACCUGUUCCUGUGAGAAUUUUUGCCAUUCCCUAAUUACUACCCAGCAAAGGCUUAGAUCAAGAAAAUAGUCCCCCAGAUAGUGCUAGUGACACAUAAUCCACAGAACUCCCUGAGUAACAAGAUCCAUUAGUAAAGGGCAUAUUACUAUCAACAAGCAUAACUAAACUUUAUUAGAUUCACACAUCAGAGGCAUAUAUCAAUACGAGCAUCUUUUACAUUUGAUAAAAGUCAAUAACAAGAAGCAGAAAGGACAUAGUUCGUCAUUUUCUGAGAAAACCCAUAAGACAUUUCCUUCUUACAGAACCUUACAAGAAUAAUUAGCUACUAGAUGCAGUUUAGUUUCAUCAUGCUAAAUCGAAUUCUCAUCAAGUGAACCCAGUAGCUCAUAAUCCAGCUCUCACCUGCAUGCCUCUUCACUCAAGUUAGAAAAAAGCCAGCAAAAAUUAAACAAAGAAAUAUUGAAUUACCAAUUUGAAAUCUAAAAACAUUUUUUUAUGAAAUAAAAAUGAAAGAAAAUGGACAAAUCCAUUAAUAAUAUGAUAUUAGAUGAGGGACAUUGCGAAUUGAAAAAGUAAUAUGGGAUUGAUUUGGAGGAAAUGGAAGUGUAACCCUCGCCACCAUUAACUCACCGCUUCACAGCUAAUCCCUCUGUGUCAUGUUAAAUCUCACCACGAAUGGAGUCUCCAGCCAUCGGCAGGCAAAUCCCGUCUGUUUUCACACUUGCAUUAUCGAAACGCACCAUUCCAUUCCUUUUUCUUAUGAAAUAAUUUUCCAAUCGUUCACUAACAUAAAACGUUUUGAAUUUUUAAUAAAAACAAUAAUUUAAAACUACCACAACUUCAUGAUACACAAUAAUUCUAACACAAGUCCGUUAUUUAUUUAUUUACUUAUAUGCCGCAAUUUUACUCGGAAUCGGUCGCAAGUUAGAAAACGACCACAUACCAUACCCGCACUGAUAUGCUCACACCAAUUAGGACCACAGUUAGCACAAAACGGUCCGUUUUGUGCUAACUUUAAAAGAAUUUACUGUAGCUUUAAAACACACACACGUCUUGCUCAAACACAAGCGCAGACCACAUGCACACUCGUCUCACUAAAACGCAAACGCAGACCACCCUCAUCUCAUUGGACCACAACACUCUUUCACACCCUCAAAUCCAUAGCAGUUGUGGGUUACUCUCUCUCAUAUCCCCUCUCUAAUUCUGCAAUUUUUUUUGUUCCAUAUACAUAUUCAAUUUGGUUGGCUUGAAUUUUUUACUCGUUAUGAAGCAAAUUGUUGGGCAAAUUUGGUUGGCUUGAUUUUUUAAUUCUCAACUGGGCAAAUUUUGUUGGCAUGAUUUCUUGAUUCUUGAUUAUUGUUUUAACUAGGGGAAUUUGGUUUGUUUUAACUAGGGAAAUUUGGUUGGCGAUUUGUUGCAAAUUUAGUUGGCUUGAAUUUUUCACUGGUGAUGAAGCAAAUUAUUGGGCAAAUUUGGUUGGCUUGAUUUUGUCAUUCUCAACUGGGCAAAUUUUGUUGGCAUGAUUUCUUGAUUGCUGAUUAUUUUUUUAUCUAGGCAGAUUUGGUUUGUUUUAUCUGGGCAAAUUUGGUUGGCGAUUUGUUGAGUUUUGAUUAUUGUCAUAAAUUCAUAAUCAGAACAAAGUUUCUACGGCUGCUGUGGAUUUGAGGGGUGAAAGAGCAACCGACGGCCGCUGGAUUUGGAGGGGAGAUUGAGAGAAAAUAACCCACGGCUGCUCGAUCUGGAGGGGAGAGGAAAUGGAUUCGAUGGGGAGAUUUUAUGUCGUUGAGGGAGAGAACGAGAGAGCGCGUGUGUAUUGCAGGUGUCAAAAUUAUCAAUUCACAGUGACUAUUUAUAUUUAUUUCAAAAUGCAUCCUUCGGUGCUAUGUGUGGUGCAUAGCGUGGUGUGAAUCUCAUUUUCCCAUUACCAUAACGUGCAAAACAUACAAAAACAACAGAUAAGGCCAUACAUACACUGUAUCAAAGUAUGAGCGUAAAACAUAAACACCUGAUCAAGAUCUGAGUACACAAAGAAAACUGUACAGUUUUCUAUACAGUUUUCAAUAAACAUUGAUCAUUUUUGGCUUUUCCUUUGCUGCGGUUUCCUGUCUUCAUACUUUCCCACAACAUAUGCGGCGGCCGCCACAUAGUCGACAGCGGCGCCAAAAUGGCGGAGUAGGUACCGGUGGGCGAACAGGAGAAGGACGAGUAUAAGCAGCGGUUGAAGCAGCACAAAUUGGAGGUGAAAACUUCAGCUUCUUAUUCUUGGCCAAGCCAAAUGUGUGCUUUUCAUUGGUUUUUACCUUCAAAACAAGCUUUGAAGACUCUAAGCCACCGUAAGCUGGACAUGGAGUGCCUGAUGCACUAUGAAGUUGUGCAUAACAGUCUUCCUUGAGCUCUCCAUCUUCAACAAUUUCCUCCGGAAGUGAUACCUUGAACUCACCUUUGACAUCGAGCUCGCCCGUCCCUCUUGUUUUGAACCCUCCGUUUCCAUUUUCCUGCUUACAAUCUAUAGUUACUCGAAGUCCUGUAAAAAGUAAAAUGAGUAAAUGAUUAUGAUCAAUUACCAUUCAGACGCAAACAGAGAUGCAUGAUGCAUCCAUUUAAGGGGAAAAAAAAAAUAAUAAUACCUGAAAAAGCCUCGCUAGGCUUAAUGUUAGAGAGUGCACAAUCUGCACAUUCUGCACUUCCAACUACUUCAACUGUCUUACUAUCACUGCCAUGGCAAAAGUUCACAGCAAACAGCAGGGCCACCAAGAGGCACACAAGUGCUUCUCCGGAGAUGGGGAGGAUCCGCAUUUGGAACCCGAAACUAGCAAAGAUUAGUAGAAAAAGGAAAUCAAGAAAAACACAAAAACAACCUAAAUUCAAAUGCUGAUAAGCUAGCUCGCAGAAUGAGUGAGACUGCCCUCACACAGAGGCUCGUUUAUAUAGAGAACUGAAUGGCGGCGAUUUUUUCCUCUGCGAGUGGAUACUGUCGGCGCCGGCUCAUUUUACGUGAGAUUGCCAAGUUCUACACGUUUUAUAUCGUAUUGUAUUAUUUUAUUACAGGCGAGCUGCUAUUUUACAUUUAAUGAUGAUUGCGAGUUGUCAAUUGAUUAAUUAUUGUUGAAUUGGUGAUAUGAAUUAAGGGUUAUAUAUAUAUCACUCACUCACUCACUCUUCUUUUUUUUUAAAAAAAUAAAAAAAGAAAAAAGGCUGUGGUAGUUGAUAAUUAAGCUAGGGAGAUUGUUUCACACAAGGAAAAUGAGAUUCUUACUUGCUAAACGGUGCAUUUUGUAGCUUCAAAAUAAAUAAUUAAUCAAAUAAUUUCUAAAUAAUAUUAUAACGUAAUAAUAUUUUAUAUUUUAUAUUUUUAUUUUUAUUGAUAUUAGUUUUAAAUUAAUAUUAUUUAAAUUUAUUCAUAUAUAAUAUUUAUUAUUAAUUAUAUUAAAUUGAUAAAUAAUAAUCAAUUUUUAUAUAUUAAUUACUAUAAUACAAUUAAAUAAUGUAAUAUUAUGUUAUAUUUUUAUUUUCAUAUAUUAUUUAAGUACUUAUUGUUAGUUAUAUUAACUUAUUAAAUAUUAAUUUUAUAUAUUAAUUAUAUAUAUAAUUAAAUAAUAAAUUAUUUAGUUAUAUUUUUAAUAUAAUAAAAAUUAAAAAUAUGAAUAAUAAAUUAUAAAUUUACUAAUUUAUAAUGUAAAAAUGAAGGAAAAUAAAAAUUAAUAUUAUAUAAUAAUAUAUUAAAUUAAAAAGUUAUAUUUAUUUAUUAUUAUUUAAAAAAGAAAAAAGCAAAACUAGCAAGGGGAGGAUCCGCAUGGGGAACCCGAAACUAGCAAAGAUUAUUAGAAAAGAAAUCAAGAAAAGCACAAAAACAACUUUAAUAUCAGAAGAAGCUAACAAGAAUGCACGAGAUUCAAUUUGGAUCUGCAUCUAGAUUAAAAAAGAAUGUGUUUAAUAUUCGCACGGAUUGCAGACGGAUAUUUUAAAUAUUCUUAUUCGUAAAAAUUAAUUUAAUAAUUACAUUAAUUUGAAAAUUAGGUGGUCUCCCAACUAAUUCAACAAUAAUUAUGAUAAAUCAUAUAUAUUAUUUCUAUAAAUGCUUAACUAUUAAAAUACCAAUAAAAUCGAUAAUCAAUCUAUAAAUUAAUUAAAUGAUAAUACAAUUGACAUCAAAUUCACAUUGGUUCGUAGACUUUCUGGUAAUCACGGGGCUCCUAGAGUGAAACGUCGCAGUCGAUACGGCGGUUGCGUGUGAUUUAGGCAACCGUAUGGCUGACCCUAUCUUCUUCCACGGAUUCACGUGAAGUGUCUAUUUCCUGAUACCUUCAAACUCUGGUGGGUGUAAUAAAUACAAACAGAAUAUAACUUUCACGCACACAAGCGACCAAAAGUACGCACAUCCCAAUUCGUCAGUAAUGAAUCAAUUUGAUAACUCGCAAUUAUUCAAUGUCAAAUCACAUCAUCCAAGCAGCUUCCUCCGGUAUGUAAACAACUUUCGGAUUACAUGUAAGAUACAGACUCCCACGAGGCUGCGGGUUCACGUGAGACCCACAAGUCAGUUUGCACACAAGCGACCAAAAGUACGCAUAUGCCAAUUCAACAAUAAUUAAGCAAUUGACAACUCACAAUCAUUAUUAAAUGUAAGGUGGCUAAUUAACAUUCGGAUUUCUCUACCAUUUCAGUCCACAGAAUUGUGGAUUCCGCUUAAGCCAACAGCCAAUAAAGUAACAGCUCCCACAUUCCAUUAACGUACACAGUCAAUACACCAAGCACGAGCUAAACAAAAGCCAGCGCACAAUCAUUAUUCGAAACAUAUAAAAAACAAUCCAAUUGGUAAUUGGUAUAAUUACCAAUUACACAACAACCAGGUGAUAACAUCUCCAUUUUGACAUAAUUAUAAAUAAAUUAAAUAGAUUUUAAGAACAUGCAUGCUAAAAAAAAAAAAAACUUGUUGAAAUCAAUCAUCAAUAGCAAAAUUAAUGAAGGCUCAGCAAGACCCAAAGUGGUUGUGAAAAUCCAAAAUAUCAAUUUUACAACCAAUGGAUAGUUAGACUCAAAAUUACUUCAUUUUGUCAUUCGAAACUCGAAACAAUACUAUAAUUAUGAUCAUGCAUGAAGUAUAAAAUAUAAAUGACAAAAUUCUCAUUUUAUCGAAAUAACAUUUAAGCACGCAUGCAGUAACCUUUCAAAAAAAAAAAAAAAUCUAGUUCAAGAAUAAGAAAUCUGUACAAGAAUUGAAUAAUCCAUGGUGGUUUACUCAAAAUCAUUUCAAUUUCUUGGUGAAAAUCGAAAUUCAAAAAUGUAAUGCAAAGAAAUACCACAAAAUUUGAUUAGAGGAACCAAAACUGAUGACAAUCAUAAGAAACGCAAUGGCUAAUUUACUCAGGUUUUAAACAUAAUGACAAAGAAUUCAUCCUUUAUGGGGUGGCAUGAUAUUUAAAUGCUGGGCUCGUUGGUCUGGUUUCAUGGGCUUAAAACGCAAUUGAAAAAAAGAAAAGAAAAGUAGUAAAUACAAAAGAUUUCACUUUUAUUCGGACCGAUGUAUCACAUGCAUCAAAUAUAUUAUAGUCAAAAUCUCGAUCGAAUAGUUAUUAAUAUUAUAUGCAGCUCUUGUAGUCUUGUAAGUUGAUUCCUUCCUUUAUAAAUUAUGCUCACACUUACAUCCAUGACACACCUAAAUCUUUUGAAAAAGUAGUUAUGCCAAACACACAAUUCGGUAAGCAAUUAAUAAAUUUUUAUUGUGUAUUUUAUAGUUAUAUAUAAAGUGUAAAUGUUUGUCUAUAUCCUAUGUUUUGAGUUAAGUGCCCAUUUAAUUCUUAUACUUUAAAAAUACUUCAAGACACCUUUACUGUGUUGAAUAUGUGACAUUUUUACUUUUAUUUUUUCUUUAUUGUUCCACUAAUAAUACACAUGCUACAAUCUUGAGAGCAUUAAUUAAUUUAUCCAUUAAAAAAUUAAUUAUUAAUUAUUAAUAUAAAAUAACUAGUAUUUUUCAUGCCAUUGCGAAAAUCUUUCUACUAAUUAUUUACAAAUAAAUUAAUACUAGGCAACUUAAAGCUGCAUUUAAUACCUUGCUAUCUUGCUAAUAAUUAUUUAUAAAAAAAAUUAUGCUAACAAAUUAAUCCUAAAAGUAAAAUAAUACUAAAAGUAGAAUGAUGGUUAGUACUAGUCUACUAAAAAAAUAACUGUCAAAAUAUAUUUGUAUAUAUAAAUUUAGAAAUGAUUUUGAUCUUUUUUUAUUUUUUUAACAAUUUUGAUACAACUACAAACACUUUAAUAUAAAUUAUUUUGUCCAAAUUGGUUUGACAUAAUAUUAUGAGGAAUUUACUUAUGUCACUAUUUUAAAAAAUUCAUUAUCAAAACCAAUCAUACGACAAUAUUUCAUACAUUGUUAACAACGUGGACUUGCUUUGGACUAAAUUACCUUUAAAAUAAACCAACCAAAAAUUUGACGAGUUGUCCGAGCAAUGGACUAUAGGGGUGAUGGAGAACAUUGCCCGAGGCAGAUUCAUUCAAGUGAUGGUCAUUGACAUGCCAUCACCCCAGGCAAAUUGAUUUUUUUUAAUUUUCACUAAUUUUAACAUUACGUAGUAAAAAAAAAAAUUAUGAAAACAAGUAUAAGAAUAGUAUUUUAAAAAUGAAAAAUUAUUCUAUCAUAAUAAAUUUUUAAAAAUUAUUCUAAAAAAAUGACAAUAUGAGCAAUGGAAUGUUGCCGAUGGUAGCAUCACCCACAACGUCGUUUUGGGUGAUGUCAUGGAGCCAUCGCCCAGAUUAUCAAUAUGCUCCAUUGCCCAAAUUGACAUGGGAGACGACUCAUAGGCAUGUUAAUUUUAGUUAAGUUCUUGUAAAUAAGUGAUUUUGGCACUAUAAUUAGAGGCGUGUUCAUCAAACUUAACAAUGUAUUUAAAAAAAAAAAUUCUUAGAGGCAUUUUAACAAAUAUCUAAUGUGUCAUAUUUUAUAAAAGAAAAUUAUCUCUUCACCAUCUCUUUUUGUGAUAUUUAGAUUUAACCACAAAAAAAUUUAACAUGCUCUUUGCAUCGUCUUUAUUUCUAACCUUGUAUCAAUGAACAACUUUGACACUAAGAAUUUAAAUAAAAUAACUAUUUUACUCCUAAAUGAAUUAAAUGAUCAUUUUAUCUUACAAAAUUUUAGAAAUGAAAAAAAUUAUAAUUACCAUUUAAUUAAUUGAUAAAAUAUUAUUGAAAAAUUGGAUGUGUGAGUACCAUCUAAUUAAUUGAUAAAGUAUUAUUGAAAAAUUGGAUGUGUGAGUACCAUCUAAUUAAUUGAUAAAAUAUUAUUGAUUUUUUCAAUCAUUUUACUUUAAAAAAAUGUGUAAUACACAUCUCAAAAAGACACUAAAAAAUUUUGUAGAAUAAUAUGAUCUUUUAAUUCAUUUACGGAAAAAUAGCUAUUGUAUUUAAAUUUUUAGUGUCAAGGUGGUUAAUUGAUAUAAAUUGAGAAACAAAGGUGGUAUUAAAGAACAUGUCAAAAUUUUAUAGUGGUUAAAUGUAUAUAUGACAAAAUAGAGGCAAGCUCAAUUCCCACCUUUGGAAAAACAUAUUGACCAACAAAAGAGUUUCGUCUUCAAACCAUUCUUAAGAAAAUUUUAAAUUUUCAUGCCCAAUACAUAUAAUAAUUCCUUAUCUAUCAUUAUAAUCCAUCAAACGAAUAAUUUAAAUAGCAAUUAAAGAACAAAUCGGAUCGAAACCAUGAAAUAAAUUGUGCACAAGCAAAACAAUUUCUCCAAGUGAAGCCAAGCAAAACCAAAUCUUUAAAUUUGAUCAAAACUGUAAUGGAAGCCACCACUGUCAAAGGAACUGGCGAUGUGGGCAAUAUAGAUGGGGGCAACGUGGGUGUUGCUGGUGCUUGUAGAUUUGGUUUUGGUUGGUUUGUUUAAGGGUAGUUUGGUCUAAAGUGAAUAUAUGUGAUUAACAAUUUAAGAAAUUUUGUUGCAAAAUUUGUUUUCACAAUGAAAUUUUUAAAAUGUUCACAUGGAUAAGUUUCCUAUGGCUGAUGCUACAAUACCUGCAUGUAUUAGAUACAUGCAGGUAUUAUGGCCGUUGGAUUCAUUGUAUUGAAUUCAACGGCUGAGAUGAAUUUAAACAAUAAAUAAUAAAAAAAUUUAGAAAACUUAAAACCUAUGGAAUUGGUUUUAACACACAUCAAACCCCCUCAACACACAUCGGACCCCCUUUCCAAAAAAAAAAAAACCACACAUCAAACCCAGGCAUAUAUAUUUGUUAAAAACAAAAAACAAAAAGCUCUCACCUCUCGCAGGAAAUCGAUUUCUUCUUCCUUCCCUCCUCACUCACGGCUCACGGUGUUAGCCUAUAUGACUACAAAUAUUGAUUUUAAUGACAACAAACCACAUGUGUUGAUUAAGCAAAGAUUUAUGAAUUGUGUUUUUACAAUAAGAAAAUAAUGUUAUGGAAUUAAAGUAUUUUUAACUAAAAUGAAAGUAUUUUAAAACCUUUGAUAUUGUUCUAAAAUUUUGGAUUUGGACCUAUUUGAAACUAUUUAAAUAUUUUAGGUCAUUCUAUAAUUUCACAUAGUUUGGGUGAAAUCAUAAUUUCAGAAAGUUUUGCGAUUGACAAAGCAUUACUUAAAAAUUCUGAAAUUGGAUCUAUUUGAAAGUUUUCAUAACAUUUUGGGUCAUAAUACAGUUUUAUAAAGUUUUAGGGUCAAACUAUAAAUUUAAAAAAUAUUUCACUGUAGCAGUUACUGUAGCAAGCGGCUAACCGGAUCCUGACAAACGGUAGACCGAAUUCGGGCAGAAUGUUUCUGGAACUUAAAUGGCUAGCCAGAUUUCACAAGCGGCAUACUGGAUGUUUAGAAAUUCAAAAUUGUGGCUGUAACGGAAACAUUAAGGGGGUAACCGGAUGUCCAUAAACGGUAAGCCGGUUAUGACCAAAAUGUGCAUAACGGCUAAUUUUUGAGCUCGAACUAUAUAAACUCAAAUCCAAUUCAUUUUCAAACUCUCCAACAAGUAUAAACAAAAAGCACACGAAAUAUCUUGAGCCUUCAACUUGCAAAACACAAAACAUUGAAUCAUUUCAUGUUCUUCAUUUUUGAAUAUCUACUCAUUGAGUGAGUUUUAUUGUAACUUUCAUUUCUUCAUCUUAAUUGUAAGAGUUUGAGUGUGUGAGACAUUUGAGUGAAGAGAUUGAGAGAUAAUAUCUUUGUUGUAAAGGUUCAUUGACACCUUGAAGUCAAUUGUAAAAGGUUGAAGCCUUGGAAAGGUUUGGAUAGUGAAAUUCUCAAGCUUGGAUCGCUUGGAGGCGUGGACGUAGGCGGGGUUUGCCGAACCACGUAAAAAUUCUUGUGUUUGUUUCUCUUCUCCCUUACUCAUUAGUUAUUGCGCUUUUAUUGAACUUAUUGCUUUCAAUUUUUAUUAAGACAUUAGAUUGCUUGUUGUGUGGAUUUGCUAAGAAAAUUUUUAAAAUUCCAAUUCACCCCCCCUCUUGGGUUGCACACUUAUAUUUCACACGGCUCCCUCUCCCUACCUCCUCACUCCUCACUCCUCACUCCUCAUUCACGGCUCACGACUCCUUCUCUCUCUCUCCCUCUUCACUCACCCUCACGGCUCAUGGCUCCCUCUCCCUCAUCAUUCACUCCCUCGCCUGCACUCCCUCACGAGACGCCUCAUCAAGGCCAUCAACGGCGGCACUAUCAGGUGACGACACUCGGCGAUUGAUCUCCAUUGGCUGCAAGCAUCUGCGGCUGUAGAUUCACAACCCACUCAACUCCCGUCAGCCCAUUCUGAGUCAUUCUCAGGCUAUCUCUGUAGUCCACCAACAGUAAUGAGACAUGGGUAUCAUGGGUUUUGUUUGGUAUUAUUAUAAUUGUUGAUUGAGUGUUUUAUUUGAUGUGCUAACAAGAUUCAUUCACCUCUCAUAUUUAUAAAUUACAACUUUUACCAUAUAAGCUUAUUAGUGCGUAUUGUUGGGUUAUAUAAUAAUUUACAUGGAUUUAGAAUUGAAGAGAGUUUGAUGACAUUAUUAGUGUGUAUUGACAGGGGAUAUAAUUUAUAGUGUACAAAAGUAUAAUGGUUAAGUGUAAGGCCAAUGUCGCAGAUGAUAUUAAUAUUCAGUCUGAGAAGCUCAAUCCUCCGAGGCCGGGCAAACAUUCGUACAUAUACUACUUGUAAGAAACUAAUUCAUUGUUGAAUUUUUUUCUUUACAUUCUGUAGUGAUUUCAGUUUAACAGUGCAAUAAUUUUAGUUGACAUAUAAAGAACUGAUAUUAUUUUUCUAUCUACAACAAGAUAGAAUCCCAAAAGUUUAAGGAGGAAGGUGUGAAGGUGGAUGAAACGGUUUGUAGACAACUUUUCUAUAUUGUAGCCUACUAACUAAUAGUUAUUUGAUGAUUGGCCAAUGAAUAAUUUUUUUUUGAGUGUAAGUUAAAGGGCGUAUACAUAACAAAUGGUUAAAACUUAGCGCAAAAGAUAAAGCCAAAUUCAUUAACAGUUAUAAUGAAAAUGCUGAAAUUAACUCGAGAUUGCCAGUAGAUUAUUAAGUGAACCGAUUCCAAUAGUGAAGGACAAUUCUGAUAAGGGUAAUCACACAUCGCGAUGUAGUGUUCUGCGGUUCUCCAACAUUGUUUCUUCGUUAUUUAUUGAAUAGUAGGAUGCUGUGAGAGAAAUUGGUUUCGGAAGCUUGUUAGGUUGAAAAUGUGGGCGACUUAGGCAAGAUUUAUGUAAAUUGUUAGUUAAGUAAUGUAAUGUAGAUAAGCGGUCGAUAAUAAUCCAUGGAAUGAAAUACAAGCUUACUAUGGAAACUUUUACAAGCGUGAUGGGUGUUGGUGAUGGAGGAGCACCGAUUGUGCUUGGUGGUGAAGAUAGUAAAAUAACUGACUUACGAGCCAAGUUUUGCUCAAGAAAGAAAGGCAUCCCAAUAGGUAGUUUAGUUGACAAAUUAAAGACAAAUAGUUGUGCAUAUGAGGAUUUCUAUAUUCUAUUUAGUCUAUUUAUGACUGGAACUAUUUUGUGUCCAACUACAGCUACAUACAUCAACCCAUCAUACCUUUAUGCUUUAAAAGACGUGAGUAACAUUCAUGGCAAAAAUUGGGCCAGCCAGUCUUUCAACUUCUUAUGGGAAGAAGUUUCAAAGUUCAAUGAAAAUAAAAUUUCCUCGAUGAAUGGAUGUGUUAUAUUUUGAAUGAUAUGAUUUAUUUUGUAAUUUGUAUUCUCGUUAGUUAAACGAUUAUGGUACUAUCGAUCAUUAUUUAUGUAUUAACCAAUUUGUUCUACAUGUCAUCAACUAAGUUUCAGCUUUCUUCUAUUGUCGAGAAUGGAUGUCAUCUUAGUGCAUGGACUGAUGUAUGGUGACUAAAGUAUGGUGACUUUGAGAGCAAUGCGGUUUGUUCCCUUCUAUAAUUGUAUAAUGUUUUGUAGUUAUGUUAUUAAAUUGAAUAGAUUAUUUAUGGAUAUUUAUAGUUAAUGCAGGUUUCGGUGCAAGAAAUCAGAUGCGGCACAUCAGGUGCUCAAAGUGAAGGACAAAUUAACGAUAGUGACGCAGCAAGUAAGCAUCCAUUUCAUGUUAUAUUAGCAGCAAUAGAUAGAAUGGAGGAGCAUAUGAGAAGAAAUAAUGAUGUGCUACAAAAAAUGGGCUUAAAAAUGGACUAUCUUACUGAAAAGGUUGAAAAGUUAGAACGAGCAUAUUUUCGUAAAGAAUGAGUGAAUUUCGCUAAUGAUAGUGAAUCACCUCUUACAUAUACUAGUGCUGAGGCAACUGAUGGUCCAAUCUUUUCCUCUCCGAAUAUGGAGAUGCACCCGCCUACCCUGCAGUUGCCACACUUUCAGAUCUAGUACGGGAAAAGUGUACGCCCAUCGAAGUUAAAAAUCGAAAAGCUAUAUACCUCAGUACAUCCAUUAAUAAAGAGGUUAUCCUAAAGGAAAAGUUAGCAGGAGUAUUGCAAGACACGAUGAAACCUAAAUUCGUAUCGGAACUUAAAGAUGAGGUAUACAUAGAGUAAUAAUUUGUUAACUUUUGUCCAAACUAAUUAUGAUUUAGUCUAAUCUUUCUUCUUUUUUUGUCUUUAAUAAAUAUGUAGUCUUUCGCGCAACAAGUGAAGAAAUAUCAACAAUCGCAAGAUUUUAAUCUGCUGUCUUUAGGCCCUCAUCGACCAUAUAGAAAUUGAAAGUCAGGGCGGUACCAGCUGUCCUCGUAUGCUCAAGUCUCACAUGGCCCAAAGCCAAAAUAUCGAGCGAGACCUUUUUCGUGAAUGAGCCGGUGACCCUCGAUCAAUUGAAGAUGCUCCAAUAUGAAUUUGACAAAAGCACUAGCCUAGAGUAACAAUGCCUUCAUGCUUGCUUAUUAAGCUGUUUUCGCUUUAUAUGUUGUCAUAGUUAUUUGAUUUUGUUAAUAUAUCAUGUGCUUUACGUACAGUGAAAUAAUUGUGCGAUUAAGUCCUAAGGAUAUCACUCGGCGAGACUUGUUAUCACUUUUAUCGGAUGCAUCACUUGACGAGGAGAUUUGUUCUUAAUUUUACUUUAAUGGUGAUGAUGAGGUUUGUUCUUAAUUUUACUUUAAUGAUGAAAUUGUAGUUAAUAAAACCAAUUAUAAUUGUUCUUGUGUUUAGAUUAUUUGCAUGAUGAGUGAUUACCUUACACAACGUGAGUCAUGCAAAAGCCAUGGGCAACCAAUCAGUUGGUUCCUACCAACAAGAUAUACAGUUAGUAAUCUGUUCUUGUCUUUUUUUUUCAUCUUUUUUCUCAUAAUUAACUAUGGUCAUUUCAGUAGUAUUUUAUAUGAAUUUGAUGUCAUGAAUAUGUAGUAAUUUGCUACAAUUCCAAAUGCACAUUUAGAUGGUUUCAAGGCUGCUUCCCAAUAUCGCAAACGUUAUAUGUAUGACCUGCACCGAUGCCAUCAGGUAGCGUGUGUGUUUAGUUAAAUGAUUAUUCGUUAUGAUCGAUAUUAUGUAUGGUAAAAGUGACCCUAAAUUGUUCUUGAAUAGAUAUUUAUUCCCAUGCAUGAUGGUGACCACCAUUGGUUUAUGUUGUUGGUUAAAAUUAAAGACAAACAUGCAGAGAUCUAGGAUCCACUACCGGAUGCACGACGGACACGAGAUCCAGAAAUUCAAGUGAAUAGUAUUGUAAGUCUGACCAAUUUUCGCUUAAAAAGAUGAGUUUAGUUUUCUAUGUAUUGUGUUAUUAAUACAUGUGAUGUUGAUUUCACUUGAAAAUAUUUACACUCAUUGGACGCUAUACUUCAUGGCGUCGUGGAUGCUACAUAUUCAGUAACUUGGAGUUUCUUGUCAUUUGUAGUGACCCAUGGGAAAGGAGUUCCUCGGCAACCUAAUAGUUUUUAUUGUGGAGUUUACGUCAUCAAAUUUAUGGAUACUCUUGGAAUCAUCGUCAACAAAUCAUAUGUGGUAUGCUGCUUAUUCGCCUGAUAUGGUAUCUUCAUUGAUGUUAAUAAUAUUGUUGGGCCAUUGACAUGAUGAAAGUGCAUGAUUAUUUCGGCAGCAUGACUCACAGAAUGUUCGGGUGCAACUUGCGUUACAACUUUUGGACUCUCCAUUCAACGAACAACGCGAUCAAUUAUUGGCGUUGACUAAUGCACACUACAGUAACGCUCCAACUUACAUAAACAAAUCGAAGUUGGUAUCAACAAUGAAGCCUCGUAAUGUGUCCACCAGAAAAUGUCAUAAGAAUAGUUACACAAAACGUCGUUUUAGGCGGAAGGGCUGAGAUUGUUGUGAAUAUAGAUUAUGAUAAUCUUUUGUUGACUUCAUACACAAUUGUUAACUUUUACUAAAAUUAGCUUCUAACUGGAGUUUUAAGAAGAGUCAUGUAAAUUGUUUUAAUGAUCCGAAGCCGUAGAGGGAUUUAUGGGGUUGUUUUGAUUUUUUUCUUCAUCAACCAGUUGUAUUGAUUAAUACUUGCUCAAAGAAAGAUAAUUGUUGUAAAUGUUGCUAUUAUCACCAAGUACGCAAAAUAUGUUAUUACAUUGCCAUUGUUCACUUCUUACAUGAUAAUAUAACUCAAUGAUUUUCAAAAAGUUCGUUUUGCCCCUUUGGUUCAGAUCCAAAAAGUGUUUCAUUAGUGAUCAUCCACCAUCCCAUCCUCCAAGGAUGUGUACCAUCGUCAACUAUCCAUAAUGUAAAUCCGAGUUAGUUAAACAACCUAGGAAAGUUAGUCAAGCAAAAUCAUAUAUCAUGGGAAAUCACUUACAAGUUAUUAUGAGGCCACCAAUUAUAUUAUGUGCUUGCAUCGGUUUCAUAGUUUAUACCAAAUGUAUUACUGUUGUCGCAAUGGCCAUCAAUUACUUAUGAGAUGUCAUGCCUCGACGAACAAGUUGUCUCGAGUAUAAAUGUUGGGGAACUUGGCGGGAUUGAUGCCAUCGAAAUAGUUGGUGUUAACACAUUAUAAGUACAAGUCGUUUGCUGAUCGUUAGUCGAUACACAACCUAUACCGCCAACACUGUAGUGAAGGUUAUUGGGCUGUAUGUCCUUUGGCGGAUAUAGCAGGCAAGUCCAUUUAGUAUGGCCAGGUUGAAAACACUUAUUGCAUUUGCGAUUUUUAGCCCCAUCAUGUUUAACGAUUUUAGAGCAACCUUUACUGUUAACCUUAAUCGGGUCUUUCAACUUCAUACCCGAUUGAAGUACACAAUUCUUCGCCCGUUUAGUUGAUUCAUCAUCACCAAGCAUAUGUAGCGUCAGCCGUUGAAUCUCGUCGAAUGCUAUUAUAUAACUUUGUUCAUUCUUUGCGGCAAAAAGACAAAGAUUAAUACAUGUUGCUGAAAGUGAGCCAAACUACGCUGUUUCUAAGACUUCCUUAUCGAGGUGUGAUGCUGCAGCAAUCAUUUUCAUCACUUUACUCACCUUCGCUGAUUUAGUCUAGCAAGCAAGAAUUAAUGUUGAUGGUAUACGAACUAAUUGCUCCAACUUCAUGACAUAAAAUAUAUGCCUACAUGGAAUACCUGCAGAUUCCAUCAUCUGGCGUGAACAAGUAAUUGCAACUUCUUUGUUAUAAAACACCACUAUCUAUUUUUGUUCUGGAUGUUGAAAUUUCGUCAAAGUAUAGAUGUGGGAAUCAGUUGUCUUGGCCUACUCGAGCAUAAUCAACGUGGCUUCUUCGAGGAUCUCCAUCCGAACCCACUUUAAUACAUUCCUUGUAUAUAUUUCAGAUGCAUGUUUUUCAAUACUUUGCAGAUGCGCGGUAAGAACAGGGGCUAUGUGGUUUGUGUCAAACUCAUCUUGGACUUCUUUGUGCCUUAUGUAAUACAUUGUGCAAUGGAUUUAUCUAAUAAAAUCAUAUAGUUUUAACUUCUGUGCAACAAACCGCCGCAAGUAAGAAUUCAAGCUCUCACACCUUUGUGUGGUUCGCAUUCCAGCAAAAAAUGUACCUUUCAAAUAAGCCUUUGUUUAUUUUUCGCGCUUUGUAUACAUAUUUUGCACCCAAGGAUUUUAUUUCAAUCCCAACUCAUAGACUACAGAGAACUAUUGUCGUUCAAACUCCUCCAUGGCAUUGGAUUCAACAUUAACUGCCGAAACUUAGACGUGAACUCAUAUGUCUUUACAUUUGCUUGUGCAUUCCUCUCAAGAUGCCAACUACAGAGUCGAUAAACACAUCCAGACAUAACAGUUUUAAUCGCUUUCGACAUAACUUUAUCACCGUCGGUUCUCGUGGGCUUUUUUUUUUCCAUCGCAGACAAAAAAGUCUGUGGAAGCCAUACAUAUGAUUCAACAGUUUCAUCAAUCAGUAUCGCAAAUCAAAAAAUGGUGGUUCUUUUGUGAUGAUUUACACCAAUGACCAAAGGUUUGUUGUAUGCAUUUUUCUUGUACGUUGCAUCAAAUACUAAAACAUCUUCAAAUUGUUCAUAGUCAUACCGAGACAAGUUACGCAGUCUAUUUUCCUCAUCCAGUGUAUACUCAAAGUACACUCCAACAUCAUAAUCGGCCCUUGCAGAUAAGUACGCAAUGACAUCUUCUGUACACUCCAACAUCAUAAUCGGCCCUUGCAGAUAAGUAUGCAAUGACAUCUUUUGUAUCGGUGUCAAUAAUUUGGGCAUAGUGGCAUGCGUAUAUUCUGUUCUGCAUGUCUUUACCCAUAUACCCAACAUGAUAGAACCUUCUUGCUUGAUCAGACUUGUAAUUCAUGAACUGACACACUUUCACCCUAACUUGUCGCAAUGCCUUUGCAUGAGCCAAAUCAACAUCGUUGACAACUCUCUGCGAACGAAGAAAUUGUGUCUCGUGCAGUUCAACUAAGGGAUGAGUGUGCUUAACAACUAAUUUAGUUACCACGUACUUCCCUUUCAACUUAUCGUAGUUCACUCGAAGUUCAACCUUGCAUCCGUUACGACUAAUGCCCCUCGGUUCCCUGACCUGUCUAUUUUCUCCAUCCAUUUUUUUAGUCUGUAUCCUUGUCUUGAGCAAACCCAUCGCCAACUUGCUACUUCACCACUUUUACCGUCAUGCCGGAGCUCAUCUUUUCUCACAGAGAAUCCAAUGGACUUGGUAUAAUUUUUAUGCCAUACGUGGGCAUCAUUUACAGUAUCAAAAUAUGAUCCCACACCUACUGGAAUGGGUUCACUUUUUGCAAGCACAUUGUACGUUGUCUGAGUAAAUGAUCUUGUAUCAGAUAUAUCCCCAAAAUAGUUAUUGUUAUCGCUAAUUUGUUGGGUGACGUACCUGCACUUGCACAAUUUUCCAUCUCAUUAUCAUUGAAUAUGUUAUCUUCGGCUUCACUAGUUUCCUUUUUUGAUGACUUGUUAUCAUUAACAUGUAAAACCCAUGUAGAAAUACUUCCCACGUCCGAAGUUGUUGUCAUAGUGUGUAUUGAUCAUCCCCGAGCCUCCAAGUAAGAAAAUGUACUAGUUUUUCCCUUUACUAAGAAGCUUAGUGGUUUCUAGGUUGGGUUUUUAAAGAAUUUAAUGUCACCAUUAAUGAAAGAAUUGGUUGGUGCCUAGAUUGGUGUACAAAUAAAUUAACAUAGCUAGCUCUUUGGAUUGAAAAAGGGCAGCCUCUGCGUGUGAAAUGACGAGCCAUUUUCAGUCCAGAGAGCAUGUUUUUUUAAAAGGGCUAGUCGUUUCAGGAAGAGGUUAGCCGUUUGGGGUUGCAUGCUCUCUGGACUAACAAAGGCUAGCCGUUUCACAGAAAAAGGCCAACCCUUUUCAAUCCAGAGAGUAUGUUUUUCGAAAAGGGCUAGCUAUUUCAGGGAAGAGGCUAGCUAUUUGGGGUUGCAUGCUCUCUGGACUAAUAAAGGCUAGCCGUUUCACGAGAAAAGGCCAGCCCUUUUCAGUCCAGAAAGCAUGUUCCUAUAAAGGGCUAGCCCUUUCACGGAAGAGGGUAGUCAUUUGGAGAUGCAUGCUCUCUGGACUAAAAAAGGCUACCCUCUUUGACGGAAGAGGCCAACCAUUUUCAGCCUAAAAAGCAUGUUUCCCGUAAAAGGCUAGCCCUUUCACGGAAGAGGCUAGCCAUUUGGAGAUGCAUGCCUUCUGAAAUAAACUAAUUGCUUGUUUUGGGUAGGGUUUUUUGGUCGAAAACGGCUAGCCAUUUUUUUGAAAAAGCGUAGCCGUUUUCAGUCCAGAGUCCCUCACAUUUGUAAUGGCUAUCCUCUUUUAAAAAAGAAAAAUUAUCAGCCAUAUACCCUUAAACGACACCCGUAUCAAACGUGUGUAAACACUUUUCAAGUAUAUCACUCGUAUAUUCUAAGUUGACAAAACACUUAUGCCGUCAACCAUUUCAUUAACUUCCGUUUGCAAGCGCUGACAUCAUAAGGGUAAUCUAGUCUUUUAAGACUGACGAAACUUUGAUUAAAAAAAACAACAUGUAAUCCCAUUUACCGAGUAAAAAAUGACAUGUCAUAUGAUAUAUAUUGAUAAAAAUGACAUGUCAUCCCAUUUAUCGGAUAAUUGUUAAUAAUUGCUAAAAAAACUAUUUUACAAUUGAAUCUACUCCUCCGAAAUUUAACCUAAAUUUUUGAAGAUCUACUCCUCCAAGCUCCAACUGAAAAAUUUUAUGGUAUAAUAUGUAUAAUUGUAAAUAAUAUGUUGUUAAUAAUUUUUUAUGGUAUUAUAUGGAUUUUUUAUGGAUAAUUGUUAAUAAUAUGUACCAGUAAUAAUUUAUUUUUUUAAUAAAAAAAUGUAUAGUUAAUAACAAAAUAAAAAAAUCGUGUAUUGAAAAUUUACGUUAUUUUUUGGGGUAAAUAUCUUUUUACCUCAUUUUGAGUUUUGAAGGUAAAAUAGUCAACUUGCCACAAUUCUGUUAACUUUCUAACGGAAGUUAACGAAAGGGUAAUUUUUAGGGACCUCCCCUGAGGUUUACCGUAUUGACACAUAAAGAGAAUGUAUUCAUAUAAUUACAACUACCUCCCCUCCCAUUAGUAUUCGGUUACGUAUGGCAUCAGUAUAUGAGUGUAAAUAUGUAAAAUUACCCUUUAAAAUUCAAAAGAAUUCAAAAGUGUAGCUUUGUGAGGAUUGACGUCUGCGAAAAUUGUAAGAGUUUACUCCAUUAACUAGUGCUCUGCAAUAACCAAUGGACAAAAGUAAAUAAAAAUUUUCACGAAAUGAAUAUUACACUUAGCCUUCUCUUUCAUGUAAACAACACCCAACAACAUCUUCAUCUUUAUGUAGCUGUGAAGGAGAGCUUCAUUUGCCUGAAGGAUUUGGUGCAAAAAAGAGGUAACGAGAUGAGUUCUGGUGGUGGCCCAAGUGCACAACGAAGUGAGUAUUGGUGACGAACGCCUUCAAUCGCGACUAGAAUUGGUGCGAAAAAGAGGUCAUCCUCAUUUAUUACUAUUUAAAGAUAUAAAUCGGAUGCAACAGAUGCAAUAGAUGAGUGGGAUGAUUUUGUGUUAAUAAAAAUGAAAAUGGGUUUUUCAUUUCAAUUUCCACCAACCCCUGAGACUUAAAAAAAUAAUAAAGAAAAAGAAAUGGAUUAAAAGCAUGAUGAUGGUUCCGUGUUCAUUCAAUGGAUUAAAAGCCCAGCUCAAAGAAAGAUUAAAAGAUCUUUGCAUUCACAUGUCACUGUAAAUUUAAGGCCGUCUCUAAUUUUACGAGUGACCACUUUGAUGGAAUUAAUCCAACCGAAAAAUUUGAGAGGAUUUUUUAUGAAAUUUUAACCUCUAAAUUACUACUCAACAGAGUUGCCCAUUUAUAUAUAGAUUAAAGAGCAUCCCCAUCCCCUGUUAAGUGUUAAUUAAGCUUGUUAUAAGUUACUAAUCAAUCAAAAUAAUAUCUAGCGAGUAAAUGAACUUAGUUAUGGAUUUAUAAGUGUUUCAACUCAUGAUCGAAUAAUCAUCAUCUGCAACAAACUUUCGAAAGGCAUGUAAAUGCCCAAGCAUGUGUUAAUGAUAACUGCAGUUUAAUAAUUUGGUUGGGGUCAACUAAAGUUCAUCUGCUAACAUCCCUUAUGAUAUAUUAAUUUUAUAUAAAUAUACAUUUGUUUCUUAUUAUAUAAAUAUAUAAUUCUAGUUACGAUUUUGCUGUUAUUUGCUUACCAUGUGCUAUUAUUUAUAACUUGCAGUCAUGUUUACAUGGAGAUAGAGGUUGUGGUAGCUGGUGAAAAAUUAAUGUAGCGACAGUAAUUCCAGAGCAACACACCUUAAAUAAGUUGUGGCAAGAUGUCAGAGAUAUUUGUUUUGAUAAACCUAUAAGGCAUGCUAAUGAAGUCAAAGUUGAUGUCAUGUUGACAUGGGAGACAACUAAUAUGCAUAUGAAAACUGAUUCUGACCUACAAAAUGCAUUUAAAAAGCUGAAGAAAAUCAGUUGCUCAUGGGCCACGUUUAUUAUUAGAAUAUAGUUUGAUGCAGCACCUGUUUUGUUCGAGAAGAAUGAUAAUGAAGAGACUCCACCUGACCAGUUCUCUGUUUCACAAGAUACUGAGCUAGAUUGGUUUGAUUUAGCUGGGGUAGAUGAAUUUGCAUUGUCGAAUUUAAAUGCUGAAGUCACUGCUAGUGCUGGAUUUUCAAAUUCUACUGUUGUAGUGCUUGAAAGUGAUAAAGAUAAUGGCAAUACAGCUGGCGAGUCUAUUAGUGCCGGUUGUUGUGCAAAUUUUAAUGUACUCGCAAGCGUACGAAUCUAUUGUAGUAUAGACUAAUGGUGACGAGUGUCGAUCCCACGAGGAGGUGGAUUUUAAUUAUGUGUGUAGAAUUAAUUUUGUAAAUGGGUUGUUGGAUUUAUGGUGGAAAUGAUUUAGAAUAUGCUAAGACUUAAAUUAAAAUGGCGAGAAUAAAUUCUAAAAUUGGAAUUGCAAUUGAGAGAAUAAAUUGAAGAGAAAAUCUAUUAAAUUGACGUACUUGGGUAUCUGGAUCCGUAUCAACAUGCAUCAUGGGCUAAAUAAUUCGUAUUAAUGCCAAUUAAAUCAUGAGGGGGGAAUCCACACCUCAUGAACCACGCUCUAAUUAAUAUGGUGCUAAGGGCUUAUCGUGCCAAAUAAUAAUAACCUUGUACCAGAGGGCCGGUGAAACCAAGGCGGUACUAGACAAGAUUAGUAUUAUUUGUCGACGAGAAGUCAAAACAUCCACAAAAACUAGAGGGGAAGAGAAAAUAAAUUUACCAAAUAAAGCCCAUGACACAUGUUGAGACUUCACCUUCAACCCAAGCUUGAAAGAAAAUUAGCCACUCAUAAUUGAACUAGGGGUAAAAUGGAAAUUUAUUAAAAUACGAAGAAAAUACAAGAUGGAGAGGGAAUUACAGAAAACAAAGUCCAAAAAUGGAUUCAGAGAUAUCAAAUUAGGGGGGAGAGGCCCCCUUUUUAUAGAUACAUGGAGUAAAUCAUGGCCAUCGGAUUAAAAACAGUUUGGACGCUCAGGAUUGCGCCACGUCAUCAGUCAACAGUCCACGGUUUGACCACGCGGAUGAACAGUAACACGGUUUGACCCGACUUUGAACAGUAACGCGGUUUGACCCGGAUGAACAGUAAUGCGAUUUGGUUGAAAAUAAUCCUGUGUGAUGCAUGCACCGUACACGAGAUUUUUCGUCCACUGAUAUGCUGCCACGUCACCAUCAACAGUACAUAAGAAUUUUAGUCCAACAGGAUCGUGACACCUCAUCAGUCAAUGCCACAUCAUCAGUCAAUGCCACGUCAUCAUCCGUCUAUGUGAACAGUGUCGUGAACAGUAACGUAGACAGUACCGUACACGUGAAUAGUACCGUACAUGUGAAUAAUGCCAUUUUUCCUUUUAUGCUCCUCCUAAGGUUUUUGACUGUCCUGAGUUCAAAAGUGAUGUCCGUUUUGCCGUCUGAUUUCUCCUUUAUUGUGAAAUGACUAUAAUGCCCCUAAAAUACAUAAAAUACUUAAUUAAAAUAAAACACAUGUAAUUAAAUCACAAGAAGGUUAAAUACAUAAAAGUAAGGGUUGUUAGUAAGACUUGAAAUGUAAAAUGACGGUUUUCUCCUUUAUAAAUAUGCAUUUUCUAACACUCAACACCGGUAGUAAUAUGAAUGUUCCUGAUCGAGAAAAUAACAUGGAUGAUUUGGAAUCUGAUGUGAGUGAAGACGAGUUUAAAUUUGACUACGAAGAUGAGUGGGAUUCUGGAUUGGAUAGUUAUGAAUUUGGUGAUAACAGUGGGCCAUCUUCAGAUAAUGAAGAUGAAAAUGUUCAAGCUGCUGCCUGCAAGAUAUGAGGCAAAUUCAGGUGGCUUUGAGUUCACCCCUGAUGGUGGUAACAUUGUGCUUAAAGUCGGCCAAUUGUUCAAGACAAUUGAUGAGUUUCGAAAUGUUGUCAAAGUGUUCGCAAUAAAAAAUCGUUUCAGACUUAGAAGGGUAAAGAAUGAGAAAAGUAGAGUGACAUUAAAGUGUUCAGCUCUAGGAUGCACUUGGAGAAUACACGCGAGCCCAAAUUAGAACAAAAAAUAUUUUCAGAUAAAAACUCAUAUGCCUAAACAUCUCUGUGAAAGAAACAAUGAGAACUAUGAGGCAACUUCAACAUGGAUUGCAGCCACAUUCUUACACUUGUUCAGAGGCAACACACAACUCCCUAUUGACGUGUUGGGGUCAUAAUUGUUUAGAAAUUAUGGGAUCAAAUGCUGUAAUCAAAGGCUAUACAGAGCAAAGAACAAAGCCUUGGAGCUUCUUGGUCAAGACCACAAGGCUAGUUUUACUAAGCUAUUCAGGUACAUGCAUGCAAUCUUAGACUCAAAUUCUGGUUUGACAAUAUCAUUAGAAAAGGAUUGGCUUGGUGGUGGGGUGAAUCCUCACUUUAAAAUUUUUUUGUGUUCUUUGAUGCAUGUAGAAGGGGUUUUUUGAAGGUUGUAGGCAGUUCGUAGAUAUAGAUGGUUAUCAUUUAAAAGAUCUAUAUAAAGAGGUGUUAUUGUCAGCUGUAAGCAUAAAUGCUAAUCAUGGCAUACAUCCACUAGCCAUGUGUGUGGUUGAAACUGAAAACACUGACUCUUGGGUUUAUUUUAUGGAGAAACUAUAUGAUCAAAUAGGUUGUAAUGAUGGUGAGGGUUUGUGCUUCAUGAGCGACAGGCAAAAGGGUAUAUUAAAUGCACUUAAUAUGGUUUUUCCUAGAGCUAUGCGAAGGUACUGUUGUAGGCACAUAUACGCAAAAUUUUAAGCUGAAAUUUCCAGGAAUCUUACUUAGAAAGGAAUUUUGGGCAGCAUGUGGAAACCAAGUAGAGCUCAACAACCAUAUGGCUGAAAUUAAUAGCAUCAGCCCUGCUGCUCAUAGGUGGCUGUUACAAAUUCUUGUGACAUGUUGGGCCAAACAUUGCUUCCCCAAUAAACCAAGUGCUCACAUGUCACAAACAAUAUGACCGAGUCCUUCAAUAAUUGGAUAGGUAGUGUCAGAGGCAUGCCAAUAGUAAGAAUGUUGGAGGAGAUUAGGAGGAAGAUUAUGAUUCUUAUACAAAAAAGACAUGAGCUAGGCAAGACUUGGCAUGAUGAACUGCCGCCACUUGUUAGGAGGAGGUUAAUAGAUGCAAGGGUUGAAUCUGAUCAUUAUCUGUUAUAUUUGGGCACAAUAAUUCAUUUGAAGUCAUGGAAGAUGUCUCUAGGAGGUGUGUUGUGGAUUUAGGCAGCAAGCAUUGUGAUUGUGGGGAGUGGGUUGUUUCAGGCUUGCCUUGCAAGCAUGCUAUAUGUUGCACUGAUGCAAUGAGAUAUAAUGUGAAUGAAUAUGUCCAUCAUCUCUUGAAAAAAAAGUACAUUCAUGAAGACCUAUCAGUACCAGUUACAUCCAGUGCUAGAUGAAAGCAGAUGGGCAUUACUCUUGCAUGAUAACUUACUACCACGGACUGUGACAAAAGUUGCUGGCAGGCCCCAAACUAAAAGAAAAAAAGAGGAUGGUGAAAGACAACCAUUUAAGAGGAGUUCAAGUGUAAGAUGUUCUAACUGUGAUAAGCGGGGCCAUAAUGUAAGGAGUUGCAAAUUUGUUAUCAAAGGUGGAAAACACAAAAGAUUUACGAAGAAGAAAUUACAUUAGGUUGUAAUUACUUGCAUCUAUUAUAAUUUUUUCAUUGCUGUCUUCAAUCUUAGUAUGUUUUGAUUAAAAAUUAUUGUAUAAUCUAAUUAUUUAUGUGUAUAAUCAAAGAGAGACAGGAGCUUGUGCUGGAGAUGCUGCAGUAGCUAAUGAUGUUGUGAACACUCAGAAUAGUGUCCAUGAAAAUGGUAAACGUUUCAUGUAUCAUUUUUUUAAGUUAAUAUGUAUGCACAAAUUUAAAUACACCAACAGUUUGUUUCUCUUAUGCUAUAAUUUCAAAUAAUAUAUAACAUUAAUUUUUUUUUUUGGAUUAUUAAGGACAACUUACUCAAGAAUGAGCACUGCCAAGUUAAAACAUCCAGCAGCAUUAGAAACACCAUUUUGUAAUUAUGAAGUGAAGAUAUCAGGAGCCAAGUUAAUCCCUUCUAACAAAAUUUUUUGAGGGAUUAGAUGAUACAUCAUCUUCAACUGUAAGCAUUGAUACGAAGAAGUUGUCGUAUCAUCUUUUUGUCACUCAGCGGUGAUAUAGGUUUGAGUUUUUGUACAUUUUGUUGUUGUGCGGUACAUAACACAACUGUUGAUGACGCUAUGUAUGCUUUCUCUGUUUUGUUCCUGUCAAGUUAUUACUGUAAUAGAUGACUUGCCACUACAAGUUUAAAUACUGACUGCUGGUAUUUGUAUUGGCUGAUAGGAAUUCAGUCGUUAAUGACAUGUGACACUUUAUUGUUGCUGAAUGCAUAUGAAUUUAUAAUUUAUAGUCACAAGUAAUGUUUAUGUAGUUUUAUUACUUAGUUCUUUAUUGAUUUUUGUUUAUGUAGUUUCAUUACUUAGUUAAUGCUGUGGUUUCUUACUCUGUGUGUUUGUUGUGCUUAAGACUAUCACUCGAAACAAUAGAAUUUGCUUUGUUUGUGCUUGAUAUUACAAAGUGAGACCUGCUGUAUGUGUUUAUUGUGGUUGAUACUGUCAGUUUGAGAAUGAAUUUGUAUUGCAUUUUUACUUUUGCUCAGGGAUUUACUGGUUGUCCUGUGUGAUGGGAGUUGUUGUGUGUGCUUGAUAGUGUUAGUUUUAACAAAAGCUUGUUAUGUGCUUGAAACUAUUAUUAUACUUUUGCUCAGGGAUUUACUGGUUGUAAUUCUAUUUAAGGAUUGAUUUUUUGUGCUAUUCACUUACUAUGCUAAAUACUAUCAGUUUGUAUAACAUAUUAUUGUCACAUGCAUUAUCUUUUUUAUCAAUUAAUACAUUACAUAGAAAAACCACUAUAUUUUACACUUCAUUGCAUUAUGCAAACAUAGGAUAGCUUAGGCAUAUUAGUUCUUAAGCAUAAUUAAAUUCAGCACAAACAUAACUAAGUUCAAGUACAUCAUCAUCUUAGUUCUUAAGCAUAAUUAAAUUCAGCACAAACAUAACUAAGAUCAAGUACAUCAUCAUAUUAGUUCUUAAGCAUAAUUAAAUUCAACACAAACAUAACUAAGUUCAAGUACAUCAUCAUCUUUACAACAGCUUCACCAAAUCCUGACCUUUGCAGCUUCUUCAUAAUAGUCUUCACUUCUUUCACAUUUGAUUCAAUAGCAUUUAGGGUAUCAUAAUCCACAAUAGCACUUAAAUUCCCCUCAAACACAGCUCCAUUGUUGAAAUCAUCCCUUGCUGGACCCACCAUUUGAAGUAUACGCAUGUUGUUCUGUUCGGGCAUAUAUAAUAAAGCUUGUGAGGAUUCUCAUCCGAUUCGGAUAUCAUCACCUUGGCUCUCAUACGACAUCUACAGAUUCAAUUUGAAAACUUAAUCAGCCUCCCAUUAACAAAGUUCCUCCAAGCUGGCUCAUAAAUUGGUUGCGUAUUUGAUCGGUUGGAUGUGUUUGAGCUUUCAGAAUCCAUGUGGUUGAGAUAGUGUUUGAUCUUGAUUAUGUUGAAUGCUUCUGUUGGUGAGUUGGAUGAAUGCUUAUAUUGAUAAAUAAAUGCUUUUGUCAAUGAACUAAAUGAAUGAUUCUAAUGAUGCUGAUGAUGAAUGCUUCUAUUGUCAUGAACUGAAUGCUUCCCUUGAUGAGUUGAUGAAUGAUGAUGAUGAUGAUGAUGAUGAGUGCUUCUGUUCAAGAGUUGAAUGGAUGAUGACUUAAAAUCGUAAGAAGAAGAUGAAGAUGAAGAUGAAAUUCUGCUAUGGUCAUUUGCUAACUUGCCCAGGCCUUUUAUAGUUGCUGCUGCUACUCAAAAUAUUACUGUUUACUUACAACGGUAAUAAUGGCAGCUUUAAUUUAUUUUAUUUUUUUAAAUAAUAAACAAUGUAAAUGAAAUCACAUAGAUGAGUAAUUUGAUCUUUUUUAGCUUUUUUAAUUCUAGUGUUAAAUUUAUUACCUAUCGGUUCUCAAAGUCUUGUUUUAUAACUUAUAAUUUUGGCGGGAAGGGUAAUUUAGUAAUUUCAAUAGUCAACUAACAGUCAAACUAACCGAAUACUAAUGAAAGGGGAGGUGGUUGUAAUUAUGUGGAUACAUUUUCUCGUUAAUAUGGAAAAUCUUAGGGGGGAUCUCUAAAAAUUAUUCGUUAACGGAAUAGUAGACGGCAGAAGUAUUUUGAACGACAGAAGUAUUUUGACAACUUAGGGUGCGUUUGGGAUUGAGAUUGGGCAGCUGUAGUUUAAAAGGUACAGCAUUAAAGUGUUUGGUAAACACUAACUGCUGUAGCUUUUAAGCUAUGUUGAUAUGAUUUUUUACUUGUAUAAUAUAAAAUUUAUUAUAUCUUUAAUAAUUUUAUCAAAAUUAUUAUUUAAAAUUUAUAUUUACUAUAUAUUAUUAAUUUUUAUUUCAUAAUUACAACUUUUUUUUCACAACAGCUGUAGCUUAGAGCAUCUCCAAAAGCCUCUAUAAAUUUUACUUUUCAAAUACCUAUUUACUUAUCUAUGUGGCAAAUAGAAGGGUGAAAAAAUAUGAUAUUCUCCAAAAGACUCUUCAAAUAGAAAUAAGUUAAUAUUAUUUUAAUCAUAUAAUUAAUUUUUUAAAAGAAAAAUCAAUAGCAAUUAAAGCAAUUCUCUCUCUUUCUUAAAUGAAAAAUAAUAAAAUAUAAAUUAAAGAGGGAAAAAUUAAUUCUCUAAAUUUAAAGAGAGAAAAUUAAUUCUUAUUUAAAUAAUUUCAAUUAAAAUAUUUUUUAAAAUUUUAAAUAUUAACGUGACUCUUUAAAUAAGUAAUAAAAUCUUAUUUAAAAAAUUUGUUAGUGAUGCUCUUAAAAGCUACGUCACUUCAAUCCAAAGGCACCCUUAUAAUAUAAGGGUGAUUCAUUUAAAAAGUGUCAUUAAAGGUAUAUUGCAUAUCAUUUCCCUUAAAAAAAUGGCUACCGUCUCCCUCACUCGAAGUUCAUCACGCGACUACCUCUCUCGGUGGCCUUCCAAAUUCACGACUUCUUCAGCCAUUAACGAGAAAAUAUACAAGUGCUCAUCAUUUUCCUUUAUUUACACAUCUAAAUUCCAUUAACUAAUUACUCUUUCACCCUAUUUCACCAAAGAACCCAAUUGAAAACCCUAGGUUCAGCCGAGGUUGUUUGUUUAAAAUUGAGUCCUUGUUCACUUCUUAUUGCUGAAAUUACUCGCCCAAAUUGAUUUUAAACCCGUUUGCGUGCUAUUUCAUCGAUUAGUCUUGACCUAAAACACAAUAGUUGUUAUUCAAAUUAAGGCUUUGGUUUCCAUAGCAAGUGGUGAAACUUCACGGCGGAAACAAGGAAAGCAUGUGGGUAAGAAGAAACGGCAAUGCCCCGCCGACAGCCCUGACGACAUCCCUGACUUCAAUUCAACCCACUUUCCAACUACUCCAAUGGCAAACCGUUCUACGACCGAUUCAUGGGCCGCCCGGUAUUAUCCUCUUACUUUGUCAAUAUGGAUUGUAUGGAUAGCCUUUCUAUUUGCAAUAAAAAGCUUAGGGAAUUGCUUGAUGGUGUGGGAUGGUCUAAUGCCUUGAAUAUUGCGGAGAAUGCGUACCCUAAUCUUAUAAAGGUCUUUUACUCGAGCAUGGAUGCUUCCGCUGAAAAACAAAAUUGAGUGAUCACAAGUGUUGCUGACAUUCCAAUUGAAUUUGAUGUUGUUGUCCUAAAUUCAAUCUUAGAAACAAAAGAUGAAGGGUUGGAAUUAUACUCAACUAGGAAGGAACUAAAAUUCAAGAGAUAUGCCCAUGUUAAUGCUGUUAGGAACAUCUGUAGGCGUUCUGAUUUAUUUGAUGAUGUAUGCAAUCUUCAAUUUCCUGCCCAGUAUUUGUGUUUGCAAGUUCGAAUUCUGCACAGCAUACUCCAGCAUGUGGUCACUCCUAGGGGCGGGCAUGCUCACCAUGUGACGCGUCUGGAUGUGGCAUUAUUAGAUUGUAUUUUACGGGGUCGCAAAGUAAAUUUUGGUUAUGUCAUCCUUAGGCACAUGCUUAGCAUUCCUGCCAUCAAUAAUUGGUCUUUUGCCUUUGGUGGAUUUAUUACUCGAAUCCUUACACAUUUUUGACUUCCAAUUGAUGAGCCCACAUUUGACACCUCGAAGAAAUUGGGGGAUGAGCUUAUUCUCAGUUUAGGGUUUGAUUGCAAGAAUGGAGAAUGGGUUAAGGAUAGUUUGAUAAAAAACAGGUACACCCUCAUUGCUCCUUCAGAUCGACGAAUGCUCAAUGAUGUUGUGCCUGUGGAUCAACUGCCGGAUUGCCGUACCUUUCAACGACCUCAACCUCCCCCUUCCGCUCCAGAGGAACAUGCUCCAGCACCUAAUGAUGAUCAGGUUCAACUGCUGUUGGGAGAGGUUCGCACGUUGUCCGAACAGCAAGCCCAAUUUCAGCAGCAUAUACUGGACGAGCAGUGACGACUUGUUGAGGAGCAGCAGCUCAUUUCUGACCACCACCAGCAGCUUGUCAAAGGCCAGCAAGCCAUCCUUGAUGCUCAGCGGCAGCUCUUCGAAGCUCUAAGGUUUCCUUUCCCACAUCUACCAGCCCCCUAGUUGCUGUUGGUUAAGACUAGUGAUGGUUACUGUUAAUUUUGUUUGUUAGUUUUGGUUUGGCCUAACUUUUGAAUAUUGUUAAACUCAACAUCAAUGGUUUGUAGACUAUGAAAAAAAUUAUAUCGAUUUUUCUAUCUCUAAAUUUCGAGUGUAUUGCAAAGAUGUGGCUUCAUAAUUUUAUUGGUUGGAAUUGGUGGUUUAUUUGCUGGCGUUCGAGGUGCUGCUGCUGUUACGGCUGUUGCAUAAGCAGCUGUUGGAAUUGCAAAGAUGUGGCUGCAUAUGCAGCAGCUGUUGCUGCUGCACAGACAGCAUAAGUUGCUGCUGGCUGCUUAUGCAGCAACUGUUGCUGCUGCAUGCCUGUGCAGCAUUGGCAGCACAAACAGCAACUGUUGCUGCUGCAUGCCUCUGCAGUCUAGGCAGCAGCAGCCUGUGCAGCACAGGCAGCAACUGCUGCUGCUGCAUAGUUGUGAAUCUUGUGCCAUAUUGUUAUAAUAUCCUUUUUCUUUUACCAAUUUCAUGGUUGAUACUUAACUGGAUCUUUUGAAGUAAAUUUUUAUGUAAUAACAUCAGAUGGUUGUAUCAUUAAUGACUUUGGAAGCUAUGGGGCAAAAUUGAGGAUGUACAGUUUGUAUCUGCAAAGUCUUAUUGCCAUUCUAUUGAAUUUGUUACAUGCAUUUCUUGUAUGAUAUUUGACAGUCUUGUGUUAUGAGGAUUCCUGCAGUCAAUUCCAUGUAGCUGGAAAUUAUUAAAGUUUAAGUCCUUUGUUUUGUGAGAGCAGUUAAGCUUUUAUGGAUGAAGUUCUCUUUUUAUCUCAUGUGUUGUGCAAAAAUGACUGGGAGAACAUCGGGUACCUUUAUCUUCACCGCUGUAUAAUUUUGAAAUUGUGAUACCAUCUAAAGAUGGCAAAGCUGAUAUAGGUUGUUAUGGAACAUUGUGUAAUCCUAUUCAUAGUGGAAUUUUGUGCGGAUGGUGUAAGGCUAAAAGCUAAGGUUUUCUUGAAGAUAUUCAGAGUUGUUAAUCUUUCGGGUGAUUUUAAUGGAAAUGAGCAAAAUAAUCUUUGAGGAUUCUAUGGAAAGGAUAAUGGUUUUCUGUGAGACGAAGUUCAUCUUUAUUAGUGUCUGCUUCUAAAUAGUUUUAGGAUUCUUCUUCAUUUAGGUUGGAUGCUUUUUUAUACAAUAUCAGGCUGGAUGAUAAAGAUUGUCCUGAAGAGACAUAAGCUCAUCUCACUAUUCUGGAUCUUUUUAUUAGUUAAAGUAGUAAAAGUUAAACUGUUUCCUAUCAAGAAAACCAAAAAAAAAAAAAAAACAAGAGGGAGAUUUUGAUUCUCAUUUUUGGCUUCUGUUCUGUUCAUGGUAGUUUUUUAAAUCAUAUCUUUUAAAAGGUAGACGGUGGACAAAGCCCAGAUCAACAUUUUAACCCCUAUCUCCCCCAGGAUUUGAAAUUGGGUGGCCAGCUAAAUAAAGCUACUUGAAAACCACUCAGUUAGGCCCCUAGGGCCAUUCUUUUUGUGGUAAUUGGUACUAUCUUGUGUACAUAAAUGGCCUGUUUCUCUAAUUGAGAUUGUUUUGUUGUUUGAGUCAGAUUCUUGCUUUUUAAAUUCCUUAUCUCACCUUGUGCUUUCCGGUGGGUGGUUGCUUCCUGGAAAACUAGCAAAGAUGCUUUUGAUUGAUUGUGAGCAGAAUGACUGUGGUUGCCCUUUGACUAUAUGAGGUACUCCUCAUCUUCUGCCAGCACAAUCUUUUGUGUUUUAUAGAUCACGAUGAGGAUGUAGAUGAAUUUCAGAAGAAAGAGAAACUUUUAAUUAAAUCUCAAGUGUUGGACAAAUCCAACGGUUGAGAUUGAAGGUCCUGACAAAAAUUUCUAUCAAGACGUCCCACUAGUAAAACCAAUUUAGCUAUAUAUAUAUAUGGGGUAUACAUAUGUAUGUAUGUAUGUAUAUUAUAUGGUAAUUUCUAUUUUGACCUCAUUUUAUUAUUAUCAUUCUUUUCAUUGAAGCAUUUAUACACAUUAGGUUUAUUUAUGCUUUUUGUUUUCUCUUGAGUAUGCUUGUCCAUCUGACUUGAUCAUGCAUUGAUGCUUGUAUUAUGAAUUCUGUAUUCUGAUAUGCAAAUUAUGCCUUGCAGUGCUGGACUUUACCAGGCAGCUUCUGGAGACAGGAGUAGAGAAUGAUUUAGUCCUUUCUUUAGUUGUUUUCUCCCUCCAGUAUCUUCUAGUAAACCAUGAGUAUUGGAAAUACAAGGUGAAGCAUGUUCGUUGGAAAAUAACAUUAAAGGUGUGUUAUUGUUUUAGUCAGCUGUUACAUUACCAGGAGACUUUGAUUUGGAAGAUAGGCAGUACCUUCCCUGUAGGGUAAGUUUCUAAUCGAUUUAAUCAAACUCCAGGAAAUGUCCAUGAUAUAGUUUGUAGGAGGUUUAUGUCUAUUUUGGAAGCUCUAGGGAAGGUAUUUUCCUGUUUCUGGAAGCAGGGAAGUUUAUUUUCUUAUAAUUAAGCCAAAAACUCAAGAGUUUGUUAUGGUAAAAGGAGGCUUGCCUAAUGAGGUAUUUUGUGUAUUGUUGAAAUUCUCAAGCUGCUUAAUGCUAGAGCCACUUCUGGGUUCAACUCUCAUUUACUUGCCACUUCAGUUUAUGCAAACAUGUUGAAGGUUUGAGUGUAAUUAGAUUGAUCACUCUAGAGCCAUGAUCUGGAUUGGGAAUGACGGUUUUACUAGGCCAGAUAAUAACCAGAGACUUAACUAAGCUACAUCAUAUCAACAAAUUUCAAACAAGGAGAACGACAGAACUUUAUUUCGUAAACAUCCGUAAAUAAUUUUGAAAGAGCAGAGAAAUUGAACUUCUUUAUGGGCAUUGCUAAAUGAUUUAAAUGCUUGAAAAAGAAAUAGGUGUCUACCUAUCAGCCUUAGCUUGCUUGCGUUGGAAUCUCCCAAUAUAUUAAUUAAAUCAUAAAAUGUUAUGUUUUUGUUAAUUGUUGAAAGAUAAUAUUGUUAUUUGGUUAACGCUUCUGGAUGGGAUGGUAUGAUCAGUUCAAAAGCUCAAAUCUUUGUUUCUUUUAUUGAUGAUUUUUUUUUCAAUGCUAACUUAACAAUGAUAUUGAUAUUCAGUUGAUGCUUCUGGGCAUAAUGAAAUCCUGAGUUUAAAAGUCCUAAGUCUGUGUUCUUUUUAUUGAUGAUAUUUGAAUUUAUUGUCCCUUGGUUUCUACUUUAGAUUUGUCCACCAUUGUAACAUGUGACUAGAAUGAGUUGUAAAUUGCAUGAUGGUGCAAGUGAAAGCAUAAUAAAAAUUAAUUGACUCUUUUAGAAGUUAAAGAGUUUCAGUGAACAAAUCCCUCUCAUAUUGACAAAUAAAUGCAACCAUGCCUCCUGAAUUUAUCAUUAUAUUUUAUUGACGUUUUUGUGUCUGUCAGAGUUGAGGACCCUUUGGGUAUCAGUCAGAAUUAACUUCAAGGAUAUUACACUUCUUCUUCCUUUUUUUUCCUCCUUUUUUUUUCGUUUUUGGUUUUUUGGGGUGUUGUUUUUAUUUUAAUAAGAAGCAACAAAUUAUUCACAAGAAACAGACACACAAGAGGGUAGACCAAGUAGCCACAAAAAGAAAAUCAAUACCGCAAGAAAAACCAAAAAGAGCAACACUCAUCUAACUCUGCUUAAUUGCCAUUUUUUCCUUUUUUUUUUCAAAUGUUUAACGAUCUAUAAUUGUCUUGCAUGGCAUUUGUUUCAUAAUUGCUUGUCAAAAGCAUGGCUUUUGUUUGAAAUUCCUGCAUAUUGUCUUCCUUCUGACCUCAUAUUCUGCUUUAUCUCUUCUAAUUUUCUGAUUCUGCUCAAACGAAUGCUGGAAUAUUUUCGUUGGAAAUAAGUGCUGCAAAGGUGAAAUUUUUUUUCAUGUUUAUUGUUUUAGGUACUUCAAGUGAUCAAAACAUGCAUUAUUUCAACCUUGGUCCCCGGGAAGUUGGGUGAGGUCAUUCGGGGUACGCUACUCUGUGAUUCUUUCAUAUUUUCCUCCUGAUUCCGAUGGAUGUCUCCAUCUCGGAGUCAAUGCUGCUUUUCCUACUAACAGGAUCACAAUGUUAACAGAAACUUUAUGUCAUCCGCACUUUCGAACUGAUGGAGAUUGAAGGGCUGGAACUUGCUAUAGGUUCUGCUUUGGAUAUUUUGUAUACCAUGCUUUCAAAAUUUUCAAAGGUAAGCUUUGAAUUUUCCUACGAUUGUAAUACUAGGGGCUUGCUACAUAGUAAAUGAUGAAGUAACACAUCAUGUUAUUGGUAUGCUGGUAAAUAGAGGUACUAUUGUGUCUUUGUUAUCUGCCUGUCUUUCAAGUUUUUAUUACUGUUAUCUUAUGUCACAAGUUUGAGUAAUCCCUGCGCAAGCUAACAGACGGCCUCUGUAUCUCUUAAGUUCAAUUGUUUUGUUUCUUUCCUUCAAGUUCAUAUCACUUCUUAUUGCUUUCAAAUAUUUAUUCACUGAUUCUAUGCAUAUGUGGUAUAUUCUGUCUAGUUCCACCCUAAUUAUAUCUAUGAAAUUUAUAACUCUCAAUUUUACUUACAGGAAAUAUCUUCCAUCCCUUCUGUCUUUCACCAAGCUGUGCUGUCACCUACAACAACACCAGUUCCUGUUUUUGCAGCUGUUACGUCCUUGAUAUCAUAUUUUCGCAAUCCUGUAUUGAUUUUCUAUCGAUACUCAUUUUUUGUUCUUUUCUUCCUAUGCUUAAAGCUGUGAAUAUUGGAUAAUUGUAUGAUUAUUGUGGAAUAUAAUGGCAUAGCUGUUUAUAAUUUAAGGGCCUAAGGUUUGGUUGGCACUUCUAUGCGAGAAUGCCUGUUGAACUUCCUCCAUGUUUAUAAAUGCUUGUACAGGUAAUUGUCUGUCAAGUGUCUGAUGAGUUGCUUAGAUUAAAUUGAAGUCUCGAGUACUAAAGUCUGGGGAGAAACCCUUGCUUGGGGUUUCAGUUGAAAAACAAAUGAGCUGUGAGAUUUAGCUCUGACUUGUUCAAUUUGACAUUGAGGGAAAAAAAUUAAUUGCUAUUCCCAACUUAAGUUGCUAGAAUUGUUAAUUUUUGGGCAUUCCUGAACACAAUUUAUGUGUAACAAACUAAGGCUUUGCGGUUACCGCGUACUGCUGAAUGUAUUCCACUUCCUAAAGGCCUCGUGGCAAGGGGCUGGUCAGUACACAAAUAUUUUGGAGUCAUUGAAGAGCCCCGGAAAGUUCUGGAAGCAUCUGUCCAACUCAUUUUCAUUAAUUACUAGCUGGCAGUCUCCUGUACUUGAAGGUAUAACAGAAGUGGAGUCUCACAAUUUGGCAUACAAAUAUCAGUGGGCAAACACUAACUUACAGCCGGCUGUAAGUUACAGUACUCACAAAAAUGUGUAAAAGUAAGAAAUUAUCAAAAAAUUUAUUAUAACUUUAAUGAUUUUUUUAUACAAAAUUUAUUAUUUUUAGAUGAUUUAUAUAUAAAUACUACUUUAUUAGUGUGAUUAUUAAUAUUCAACUAAACUAACAAAAUGUACUCAUGACAUGUGGGAAAUUGAAAAUUAUUAAAUUUUUACAUAAAACAUAUUAGAUUAUAAAGCAUAAAAUUACAUGCCUACAAAAAUAAUGUGGUGCAAAUAUCUCCACCCUAAUUUGUAAUUUUAUUUUUAUUUUUUUGGUUUCCUUAUAAAGAUAUUACCCUCCAACCACUUAAAAAUAUUGAAAGUGCUAAUAGCUAUCACGAGUUUCUAACACAAUCUCAAAACCACAUCAAGAUUUAGCUUUACAUAUCAACCAACUACUUUUUCAUUAACUCUAUUAGCCAUUAUUAAAUAGUUUAAGAUCAAAAACUAUUUUCUUCUUGAAGUCUUGUAAAAUAUUCUUUUACAUUCUUAAAUGAAUCUAAGAGAAAAAAAAAAAAAGUAUCUUUAACUUAUAUUCUUGUAGCUAAAGGAGUUAUUAGUAGUUUAUAUAAAAGUAAAAUUUAAGAUGAUUUUGAAAUAUUAUUAGAAACUCGUACUGGAUACUUGCACUUUUAAUAGUUCUUGAUAUGAUUGGCAGAUAAAUUUUAUUUUUUAAAAAAGUUCAAGUGGAUAUUAACACAUUUAAAUGUGUAUUUGGGAUUGUGGUAAUUUGUUUUUGUCCUAGAACACUGAUAUGUAUAUUAUAAAAAAAUUGUUAAUAAUUUGAAAUCCAUCUAGACUAUAUUAGAUUUAUUAUAACAUUAGGUAGAUUUCUACCCUCACUUAAUAUGGGACAAAUAUCCAAUUAAUUCAUCCAUAUUAGUCAUGAAAGAUAUGAUUAUGUGAUAAUUCUUAACUCAAAACACGUCUAGAAAACAUCUCUUAAAAGUGAUUACGAUACAUCUAGUUGCAUGAAAAUGUCUUGAGUUGAAUUUUUUUUUCUUUUGAAUUUGUUAUGAUAUACAAAUAUUACAAAUGGGUCUACUGAGAAUUUGAACUUACAAUAUAACUUAGAAGUCUAUUAAAUAUAGUUCAGAAAUUUGCACCUAAUGGAGCUGAGACAUCUACCUUCAUACUUGGAAAAAUAUAUUACUCCCAUUAAUAUUUCGAGAAAGACAUGUAUUUAUCUAUCCAAAAUUUUUCAAGAGAAACUACUUUUUAAGUCUUUGAAAAUUCAAACUGGUGCCCUCAAUUUUGGAGGGCACAGCCAAGCCAUUACAUCAAGACCAUAAUGGUCGGGUUGGUGAAAUCAAGAGGACAUGCAAAAGAGCGACAAUACUAAUUAUUUGUCAUUAUCUAAGAGGUUGAACAGUAUGAAGAUCAUUGUUGUUGCUAUCAACAGCUAAACCCCAACCAUGGAGAGAGAGGAUGAUCACCGAAUAGGUCUUUCUAUACAAAUAGCUUUCAUUUAAAGGAUUUUAAUUUGAUCAUUAGAAAGCACUGGUUAUCACUUCACACUUUUCCCGAUAAAACUAAAUUCUGCACAAUUUUCUCAAUAAAACUGAACAUGUGAGUUGUGGUGAGCGAUGGUGUUGUCCACCAUAUCAGUUCUCUUCACUCAAAUGCACAGAACUCAAUGACACUUACUAAUUAUAUACCUACUCAAUUCGAAUGGUGCUUAGAUGGCGCAGUUAUUAAUUAAAGUUGCUCAAAAUUAAAAGUUUCAAGUGCAAACUAGUAGAACGAACAAAAGGUUUUGGGAAUAGUUUGAUAACACUGUAAAUUUUAAAAUAAUUAUUGUUAGUUGUACUAUAAAAAUAAUUAAUUGUAAAAAAAAAACUAAUUAAACGUUUAGUAAAGUUUAUUUUCAAAAGUGACAGUCGUAUGUGUUUGGUAAAUCUUGUUAUUAAAUUAUUGUAAGAAUAUACAUAACUAAAUUGGACAUAAUGUUAAAUAAAAUUCAUUUAGAUAUUUAUAAAUAUGUAUGUAAAAUAUUUUUUAAUGAGUACAUAUAAUAAUUGAUAACUAUAAUAAAUAUUUUAUAUUAUUAAUUUUAUUUUUUAUUUCGUUAUCUCGAUAUAAUUGAAAUAAUAAUAAUCUUUUUAAAGUUAAUGGUUUUAUUUUUCUAGUUAGUAGGGAUAAUUUUAGAUUUUUAUAUUAUAUUAAGUAUAAAGUGAUUCUCAAAAUUAGAUUUUAAAAAGCAAUUCCUUCCAUGCUUUUCAAAUUUUAUUGUAAGAUGGGAAAAUUUUGGUCAAAGUGAUUUCUAAAAAAUUUACCAAAUACUAAAAUUAGUUUUUAACUUUUCAAAAUCACUUUUGAGACUUCUAAAAGCAAUUUUAAACAAGCACUUAGUUAAGACUUAUAUUAAAGAUUAUACAAUAGAGAUUUUUUUUUUUUUAAAAAAAAGAAAUUAUUAAGUGAUUAUAAAGCCUUCCAAAGUACAAAUUAAAUGGGAUGGAUAAUCUUCCAUACCUAAAAUGAAUUUAAACACUGUAAAAUAAAUUUUACUAAAAUAUGUGUUGAUUGGUUAUUAAACCUCGAGAUAUGAGAAAUUCACUUAUACUAUAUAUCUUGGAGACUAUAAAAUCAUAAUUUUAAGAAAAAAUGGAGGUUGAUUACUACUGGUACCGUACGUUUUUUGAGUUUAUGUUACGGUCUAAUAAAGUUUAUUGAUUUUAUGUUACAACCCACUUAUGUUUAUAAAUUUUGCAUUGUGGCCUGUUGAGCAGGGAUGACAAUUCUAUACAUAUCCGCUCGGUAACCGACCCAUAUAGUGCGAUCUAUUAAAAACCAAAAUUCCAUCAAGUGACUUAAUGCUUGAAGUCAUGUCAAGAGACUCGAACUUUAUGGAUUGGGAUUAUUAGAUUAAAUAUGAAAUUUGUAAUUAACAACUUUGCUGGUACCCAUGAGUUGCAUAGUUUCAGAAAGAGAUUUUGAAAAGACAAAAGAGGAUAGCACAACACUUCAUAUACAGAUAGAAUUUCAAGAUUUAGAAGAAACAAGUCCAAAAUACACCAUAAAUUCAUUACAUAUACAAUACAAGUCCUCUCAUUGAGGUAUACUUAUUUUAUAAUAAAAUGUGAAAAUACAGGCAAGCAGCACAGGCAGAAGAUGAAUUUACUCAUCUUUAUUUUAGGAAAAAGACAUAUUUAUAGGUUUCCUUUAAACUUGAGAUGAUCCAAGUUGUAGCGACACAAUGAAGUAAAUCGCAAGAACCAAACACGAACAUAGAAAUAUUAUUCCAGAUGAUGCACAUAAGAAGUGACUUGAAUCUUCAUCAGUAUCUGAACAUUCUGCAUUCAUAAAGUAGAGAACUUCAGCAGGAACUACAGAGAAGAGAAUUAAAUGCUCAGGUGUAGACCUCCGUAUAUUGUGAACUCGCCCUUUUACAUCAAUGCAAAGCAGGGCCGACUCAACCUUAUUUGACGCCUUAUGCAAAUGAUUUUAAUUAGUUCUUCUUAAAAUUUAGGAAUAUAUAUAUUAUUUAUUGAAAGUCAAUUCUUUAAACACUCUAAAAUGUAAAAUUAUUAAAUAAAAUUCUAUUCUACUAUUGCUAAUCCAUGAAAUUUUUAUUCAGUUAUAAUAUUUUCACUUAUUAUUUUUUUAAUUUAAAUUACAUCUUUUUUACUACUUUUCUAGAUUAAACUGAUUUUUCUAUUCUUCUAUUUUCUAAAGUUUUUCGAUAUAGUUUUAUUUCAAAAUAGAUAAAACAACACACACACAAAAUAGUAGAUGAAUAAAAGAAUAUAUUAAAAAGACAUAAGAACAAAUAAAUAACAUAACUAAUUAAGAGAAUAAUAAAAAGAUAAAAUAUGGAAUUUGGGAUGAAAUCAGAAAUUAACUUUAUCUUUAUUUUAAUUGUUUGAAGAUUUGAGUAAUGACCAAUAUCCAUAGAGAAUAGAGAAAACUAUUAGAUUUUUCCUUUUUCUUCUUGAGUGGAAAGUAGAGGAAGCAGGAUUUUUUUCCGUCUCUCUCUUUCUUUCUCUCAAACACUAAGAACAUAUCGUAUCUUGAUUGUUGGAGGAAAAAUCUAAUGGAUAAGUAAUAAAAUGUGGGAUUUUUAUAGAGGUUUAAAAUGAAUAUAAAACUUUUUAACUAUAACAUAUUAAUUCUAACAAUGAAAUAGAGAAUUUGUAGGAUUUAAACUAUUAAUUUAUCAGUUUUAUCGGAAUUAAAACUACUAAAAACUAUAUUAAAUAAACUACUAAAUAAACUAUAUUAAAUAAAUUUGAUAAUUUAUUUAGGAAAAGAUAAUUACAAAAUAAUAAUAAAAUAAAUGAAUAAUAAUGACUUUUAAAUUUACUUUUCUUUUUUAUACACAAAAUAAUCUUUUCAUGGGAUCUUCAUGUAAACCGAGCUUUAGGCAAUCGCCUAAAUUACCUAGAAGUUGAGCCGCUAUUGAUGCAAAGGACCAAUACUAACAGCAAUAAAAGAAAAAAAAAUUCCUAUAGUUAUUAUUAACUAUUCAAGGCCUUGUAUAUCAGUGCAAAAGGGCCACUUAGGGAUGCAACACCGGACCUUUUGUCAAAGCAUGAUUUUUGUGAUGUUAUGCAAUCUUUUCAAACAUUCAAAAAAUUUAGAAACUCAGGCUUUAAUUUUCUCAAACUAAAACCUCCAAUUGUCGAACAAAAAGGUGAGAAACUCAAUAGGGUAAUCAUAAGAACAAGAAACCUCCACUGAUUCAAAAUUCCGCAUAAAUUCCAGAGCAAAACAUGAAACUCAUUCUGCAAUUAUUGAUAGAACUAUCUAUGCAUUUUUUGAAACAAGCAAUGAGAUCAAAGAAAUGAAAGGAAAACUAAUUACCUGGAACUUUAUUAACUCUUCAAAUUCAUGAAUACAAGACUUCUGACAUAGAUGGCUUCUCCAAAAGCUGAAAAAAGUAUAUAAGAGCUCAAAGCACAGAAUAAGGAGGAAAUGGAACGUUGAUUAUAUAAACUGUGUAAUGAUAAUGAGCCCAAAGGGCAACAAAAGGGGGGACAUAAACGCCUUUUACACCUUUUUUGUUAAGCUAAAUAAAAAGAAAGAAACAGGGGUAUCAAAAUUGCACCAUGGAAUUUGACAAACACAUUUUAAUUGAAAAACUUUGAUAUUUCCAUGGAAGACAGGUUAGUGAGUGAUCUGUACCUUUUCUUCAUGUAAUUGAUGUAUGAUCUUGUUAAUGUUACUAUCGGAGCGCCAUUCACCGUGCCCAUAACCAUAGCAAACACUUUCUGUCAGUGUUCUUAAGUCUCCUGCAGUGAAAAUCUUCAUCUUGGGACAGCCAAUCACACAUAGAUAUUCCAAAGAUGGGAAUCUGAAGGUGUAAUUGCCAGAGCUAAAGCUUGUGAGACUAUCUAAAUGAUGCAGAUCCAACGACUUCAAUUUGAUGAAAACUAUCUCUUCCUUUGCUGCUGCUGCAUCUCCCUCACUUAUUACCACUUGUGUCAUUGCACUGCAUCCAUAUAUCGUCAAACUUUCAAGUUGCACUAGACUUUUUGCUCCG
rnacentral:lncRNA from 1 species